rnacentral:lncRNA from 1 species
UAACAUGUCCGUAGCAUGGACAAGUUGAAUAUUCUUUAAUAUUAACCAUACACAUGCGGAAUGACAUGUUUGUAGUAUGGACAAGCUGAAUAUACUGUAAUAUUGACUAUACACGUGUAAGCUAAAUAAUAUUAUCAAACACUGGUUAUGGCUAGCUAGUGUAAGCUGAAUAUGUUCAUACACUGUAAGGUCUGGUAUUAAUUCAUAAAAUCUAUUCUUCCCCUAAACGUAAUGGAAAUCAUAUGUAUCUAGGCAUGCUUAAUAUUUGAUAAAGAAAAACAUUUCUGAAAUAAAUGUCCACUGACAGCUCCGGCUAGCUCUCCCCCUUGAGGAGCCUUGUCUACCAAAAAGGCAAUUUCAAGCAACUUCAAGAGAUAAUUUGACCACGUUGCGGAAGUAUGACACCAAACGGUUGAGACCCAGAAGACAUCCAAGAGUUUUUGGAGAAACAGAACGCUCACUGAAGAUAUGUGUUCUAUUUCUAUAGCACGCUUACCCCAAACAAAACACAGGUUAUGGAAAGGAAAAUAACAUUAAGAAAUGCAAAAGAUUGGGGAGAUGCUAAAGAACUCAUCUCCGGUCCUGGAAAUAAUGCAUACAAUAUUGCUCUACCAAUUAAACCAAAUCUUAUGACUCUAGUGACAAGCUAGAAAGCCACAAAAACCCCAAGCCUUGCAGGGAACCCAAAACCAAAGCAAACUACCGAAAUGAACCCGAUUCGAGCCAAGAAAUGACAAUUGCUUAUGUAAAAAUAAAUUAAUCAAAUUAAACAAGGAAAACUUUACACUACUCAAACAAGAAAUGACAAACCCGAUUCUAGUUGAAUACAACUAGAAUAAACAAGGAAUCAGGCUAUGCAAUUUCCUACCACAUUUUCACAUCAACGUGAUUGUUAGGGGUUUCAACAACUUCACAGAAUUACCACAAAUCUCAUCUCCGGCAUUCAGACAGAAAAAUCGAAUAAAAGUUCGAAAUCAAGAAUCGAUCCCAAAACUGAAAGUUGAAAUUUUGGAAAAAGAACUUACAUCAGAGGACAUUCCACGGUGAGCCUGCAUAAAUGAACCAAUUAAACAAAGAAAUGAAAACCGAAUAACUCGGAAGCUAAAGUAUCACAGAUAGAAAAUUGCAUAUACCUAACUAAAAAUGCACAACCUAAUGAGAUGUGGUAGUUUAAGUGUAUAACACAAGGGUGAGAAGUACUCUAGUGCUCACACACUGAAGCCACAAGACUACCAAAUAAUGUAGCUUUAGAAAUAUCAUUCGUUGUUUUGCACACAAUCAUACAUGCUCAUCAGAACAUAGUAUGAUCUCCAACGGAAAUAGAAGUGACACAGGUGAAAGUCAAAAUAAACAAACAAAUAAUAGUGUACGAGAAGGCCCUAAAGAAUUGCUCUAACUAAGAGACAAGCUUAAAUUAGAGUAAAUUGUAGCUAUGGUCCCUUAACUUUAACUCAAUUGGAGCAAUGGUCCCUCAACUCAUCAAAACAUGCAGCUAUGGUCCCUUAACUAAAAAUCCAUUACCAUUGGUCCCUCAACUCAUCAAAGCGUGCAGUUAUGGUCCCUCAACUAAAAAUUCAUUACCAUUGGUCUCUCAACUUUAAUUCAAUUGGAGAAAUGGUCCCUUAGCUUUAACCCAAUUGUAGCAAUGGUCCUUCCAACCAAGGUCUAAAAUAUCGAUGAUAUCCUGAUAUUUCCAUCGAAAUUUUCGUGUUUUUGGACUACCGAUAUUUCCGAUAUCAUCGAUAUUUUAGACCUUGAUAAGAACUCUAUGUGGUACUAAAUUACUCAUAUAUCUUACCAUGCAAUGUAUAAAGUGUAAAAUAUUGUACUAAUUCAUUAUAUAUAAAUGAUUAUGGUGUGUUUAAACUUGUUUCAUUAAUUACUACAUAUUUUCUACACUCACAAUGUUUGCCAGCUCGCUAUAUAAUCAACUUAAAUCAAUUAAAUCCAUCAUGCAAUGCAUUUCCUUCCAAUUUUUUGUGAUAAACUAAUAGAUAAUUGACUAAAUAAACAUCCUGCAAAGUUUCAAUAAAAAUUUCCAAGUUUUUCUUACAAUUUCCGUGGUUUUUAUUCAAUUUUUAUCGAUAUCGAUAAUAUCUCGAUAUUUCCAUCGAAAUUUCCGUUUUUUACUGCCGAUAUUUCCGAUAUCAUCGAUAUUUUAGACCUUGCUUCCAACAUAACUCGUUUUGACAAAAUUUUUGACGUGAUUGACGAAAAGAACCAUAAUUACACUUUGAUAAGUUGAGGGACCCUAAUUAUAUAAAUGGUUAUUCCAACAUAACUUAUUUUGACAAAAUUUUGACGAAAUUAAUUAAAAGGACUAUAGCUACAUAUUUUGAUAAGUUGAGGGACCAAUGGUAAUGGAUUUUUAGUUGAGGGACCAUUGCUCCAAUUUGAUUACAGUUGAGGGACCAUUACUACAAUUUACUCCUUAAAUUAUAUAAUAAGCUUUGCACACACCCCACUUUCAAAAACUAGAUUAGUAUGCCGUGAUAUUUAACAAUGCCGUCAUAAACUUACUUGUUGAAUAACUCAACCCUGUAUUCCAUCUCCUUCUCUGCCAUACCAAAGAUUUGCACAAUUGUUUAAAACCAAAUUCAAGUCUUUCCAGAACACGCAGGAGAUUAUUUGAAAAACAAGAAUUUAGAACAAUAAUUCAAAACCAAAGAAAAGAAAGUCCAUCACUCAGAGUAAAAAUUAACCAUCUUGUUGCUUCCUAACUGUCUGGAAAUACCCACGUUUCAAUUUUACUAAUGUCGAAACACCACCAUCAUUGACCAAUUAGACAAAUAAGACCCAAUUCGAUUACGCCCAACUCACAGAAUACCCAGAUUCCCAACACCCAUUGAACAAUCUAACCAUGAAUUUCCAAAACUUUCCCCAAAAUCCAAUCUUGGGCAUGCAUUAAAUCCAAUCUAAAACUUGAAUUCGUUUUUGCAGAACAAAAGGUAAAAACUUUGGAACAAUGAAGCAAAAGGGUACUUACCUGUUCCUUGUCCAAAACCGUCGGCGCAUUGUGGGGGGCAGCCAUUAGAACCUGAACAAUUCGCAAAAUUAAUUUACAGACUUCUUCGAAACCGAAACAGUAUGAAGUAGCAGAGAGGGUUUAAGUAAUCUUACUCGGCGGAUGGAAUCGAACGCGCUGAGAGUGGUAGCUGUAAAUGCAGAGGGGUUUUAGGUGUCCGAUUUGAAGCCAAAGCAGGAGAAAAUGGAAAUCCCACUGAACUAUAAUGUACGAAUUAGGGUUUUAGGAGUUUGUAUAGCGUGUAUGUGCGAUGGACGGUUUUGUUUUGGGGGACUUUCAACCCGAAAAGUAGUGGAUUAUUGCCCCUUCUUUUCUCCUUCCACCACAAGUAGCGGAUAAUUUCACAAAGUCCUUACAUGGUGGACAGCCGUAUAUAUAUGUCCCUUUCUUUCUUAUUUUUUGGAUUCUUUUAUUUCUUUGCUUACUCAUAUUUCAUCGGUUGGCUCAAGUUCGGUUCACUAAAGUAGCGUGUUUCUUUGUUAUGUUAGAGUUUGAAUAUCCAUUCAAAUGAUUUAGAUUUCUUCGUGCAGACUAUCGUUUAAUUAAAAGAAAAACUCGUAUUAUGUUUACUUAUAGGAAAUGAAUAUUAGUCUCAUUGUAUAUUUGCUAACAACUAUGAAUUUGAGAGGAAAAAAAGUGAAUCCACAUUGAUUUUACAUUCUAAUACGUUCUCAUACAUGAAAAAUCAUAAGAUUAUUAUGGGGGUUGUUUAAACUCGUGGAAACGUGUUUUGAUGUUCACCCAAUAACAAUUGUUUGUUCUCGAUCCAUUUCAAGUUUUAACAAAUAGUUCGUUUAAGCAGUUAAGAGUUUUUUCUCGUGCUCUCAAAACUCGGCGUUACCUAGUGAACCAUAUAAUAUUCAAUAAUGACUUACCAUUUGAAUGGAUCGAAAAUUUCAAAUUGACGACAUUUGUGCCGGUAACCUGUGUAUUACAAGGAUCAUUGAGAAAAUACAUACUUUCACAUUGUGCCGGUAGCUUUCAUUAGCAAUGCUUCACAAUUUACAGGUACGAGGGCUUGACCAGCAUCUCCUCCGGAUCUUUCCACACUGGGGAGUCCUUAAGGGUGCGUUUGGUACGUGGGACGGGACGGGACGGAACGGGACGAGGCGUUCCGUCCCGCGUUUGGUACGCCAAAAAUGGGUGGAACGGGCUGUUCCACGGGACAGAUUUUGGGUGUUUUUGCGUUCCACGUCUGUGGAACACAAUGUUUUACCAUUUUAAGACAAAUAUACCCCAUGUCUUUUUCAAAAAUUACACCUUCGUUCCGUCCCGUCCCGUCCCGUUCCGUCCCGUCUCGUCCCAUCCCGUUCCGUCCCGUCUGCGUACCAAACGCACCCUUACUGUACAAAUAAGAUUCACAUGCGCAAAAUAUGUGCUAGACUACGCGCUGCAAAUGGAAACAAGUUGUCACCCCCAUUUAUCCAAAAAUAAUAUACUUGUUAUAGAUAUCCGUGUAGAAUAUUAUAUUACGAAGGGCGGAGAGCGUGUGUACGGCAAAGUAGGAACGGGUACAGCAACGUAGCAGCACAAGCAAGACGAUGAUUGGAACUGCAACUUACCCCCACACAUUCACAGAAGCCUUUUUCUUUCCCCUGCUGGUGUUCAUGAAAGCGCUUUGAAGUGAAAAAGCCAAGAAAUUACGAAGGCAAGGAUCAUGCAGGCAAGAAGGAAAGCCGCAUCAGUACUGCUAUUUGCCUCGUUUAUCUGGCCACUGGAAAUGUUGAAUGCAGUUACUCCACAGAUCUCGCAGGUUCUGCAAAUCAAAUAAAUAAAAUUAUGGAUAGGCAGAAAAUAACAUAUCAGUCAGACAAGACAAGUAAUUACAACCAUAACGCAACAUAAUGAAGAAACGUACCAUGAGGAUUUUGAACAAACAUAAUGAAGUGUAACCAACAGCAUACAAAUAUAAAAAAAUAUAGAAGAAAAUGCUAUACAAUCACUGUAAGUGAUUUCAAAGGCCAUCAAUCUUCUAUUUCUGUUUCUAGAAAUAAGUCACGUCGUCAAGAUGUCGUUCCAUUUGCUUACCAUGAUGAGUAAAAUGAAAUUUGAACUAGCUUGCUGUUCUUGCAUAUCUUCUCCUCAUCCUGGUUACCAAGCAAGUCAGUCUUGACCAAUCCAUCUAUGAUGUAUUGUAUUCUCAUGUGAUGCAGCUUAUCUAGAUUAUAUUUCCUGUAGCCUAAGUUUGGAUAUUUCCUUUGCAGAGGGUAUAGCGUGCAAGGUCCUAAGAACUUCACCAAAUUAUCAUCCUUCGAGUAUAGAAAAUCUCCCAAAUAUAUAAGCGAAAUAAACUUGUGACGGAAUCAAAGAAUGCAAAUGCUCAUCAUCAUUUACUAAUCCAUAUGCAUAAUGUAAACAUUUACAUCUUUAUUAGAAGCAUACAUAAAAAAUACAUGGCACACAAGAUAUCCACUUUUCAACAUAGGAGCUCAAUUCUUACAUACAGACACACUUCCUUUAGCUUGCAUUGGACCUCGCACUUUCCACUAAUGUAAAUGCCAUAGAAAGUGUGACUGUAAAAACUAUAAACGUAGAACGAUCGAUAUGUUUGAGUUCAGAUGGACUGUAAUAGUGGUGACUACAAGAUUUGUUCUUUUACUAGAUUUUCUCGUAUUUCAUAUGAGCAUACACAUUCUACUAUAUACGUGAUCUGCCUCAUUCAGCAUUCCAGUAAGAAGCAAAAUGAUAAGAACAAUUGUGACAAUUACAUCAAAAGAAAGAAGCUAAUUAGCAAGUAAUCAUUCGAAUAAGCUGAACUCACGGAAGCAGGAACCUAAACACUAUCAAGAUGGUCUCUGUUGUAGCAUGCCCAUAGUAAGAUCAUAGUUUGAAGUAUGUUAGGAUGCCACUUGUCAUCAUCUCAAUAUGACAAAUGUAAGGUUGAGAUGCUCUAGUAGUAGAUAAGAUGGUUAUAAGUUGUCGGAUGAUAGCUUACAGAGGAAGCUAAGUAGUUUACAUAUAAGGAAGUCGGUUGUAAUUGGGAGGGGGUCAUUGGAAUAAUCUCUGUGUAAUACAAGAAAGUACUAUGCAAUUGUGAAGAAGCCGAGCAAGGUUUUAACAUUGGUAUCAGCCAGUGUCGAUUCCUCUCAAUCCUUCAUUGUUGUAUGCCUCGCCGACCCCGGAACACCAUGGAAUCGCGAGUGUCGACUUUGGAAACCAUGCUCGCCGAUCUCAAAGAUGAGUUCAAGAACAGCCAAGAGAUGAUCAUGAUGCAGCUGCAAUCAUGAUGCAGAUGGAUGCAUUAUUUGUGGCUUUUAUCGUUAUUGAAAUCUUGUUGGAAUUUCGACAUUUAUUGAUCAUAAUGCAUCCAUCUGCAUCUCCGUUGUAUCAUUACCCUGUACAAAGAAAGUGGCUCGAAGUCUUGAGAAGCACAUAACCAACAAUCAAACCGCGGCAUUUGGGUGCUCCAUUAGAAAUGGUGGGACUACGACCAGGAAUCCCAGGUACAUUACGUCUUGCUACAGUUAAAAGGGACAAAUGCUCAAAAUCAAAUACAUAUUCGUGAUAUAACUUUGGCACUCUUAUUUCUGAUACAUAUUUGUGACUGAGCAGAUAAUCAUAGAUAAAAUCUUAAAAAAAAAAAUAUAUAUAUAUAUAUAUAUAUAUCACAAUUUCAACCAGAAAUUUCAAUGGCUCUGACGUCAACGUUCUUCAACUCCGCCUUCGGAACAGUGACACUCAGAACUCCAUUCUCCAUGGCAGCCUUAAUCUGAUCAACCUUUGCGUUCUCCGGAAGCUGAAACCUCCUCAAGAACUUGCCGCUGUUCCUCUCCACUCUGUGCCACUUGUCGUUUAUAUCCUCCUUCUCCACGUUCCUCUCUCCGCUGAUCUUAAGCACCCUGUCGUCUUCCACCUCCACCUUCACCUCCUCUUUUUUCAGCCCCGGAACGUCCGCCUUGAACACAUGGGCUUCGGGGGUCUCCUUCCAGUCGACCCUAGUGUUCACAAAAGCCGAAUUCUCCCGAGAAAAUUCAGGAAAUGCGGAGAGUGAUGAGGAGGAAGGGAACGGGAAAUCCUUGAAAGGGUCCCACAGAUUGAGGGAGAAUGGGUCGAAGACGCUGCUGCUUCCUCGUCGGGAGUUGGGAAUUAGCGACAUUCUGAAAAACCGAUGGGGUUGGUUUGGAUGCAGAGAAAUUUGAGAAUUAUUACAGAAUUAUUGCUUUUGCUGGACUGAUUGGAAAAGUAGCGGAUUUGAUAUAUUUAUAAGGAACCGAAGAAUUUUCUAGAACAGACUUGAGGAUGAGGCUGGAAAAGUAUGUGUGAGUUUCUCGAACUUUCUAGGAUGCUUGAGAAUAAUUGGAACUUUCUUAGGACGCUUAAGAAUAAUCCGACGUUUGUGUGAGUUACUCACACAACACGGUUGACUUCAUGAUGAUGAAUGGUGGACCCAAAAGCCUAAGUGUGGGGGUUGUAUGGGCCAUUCGAUUUAAUCGGACGGUUAAAACUGAAGAUACUGUGCAAGUUAUAAGCGGGGCGUUUGAAUCUUUGAUAUGUAUUAUUUGGACUUAUUGAUAAAUAAUAAUAUUUACAUUAAAUUAACAAUAUCAACUAAAUAUCAAUAACAUUUAACAUCUCAUGAAGUAGCUUAUCUAAAGGUAAAGGGAGUUAUAGCCCAAACAAGCAAAUUACCAGUUAAGUAAUAUGAUGGUCACUUAGUGCUACCUUUAAUGAUAUUUUUCUUUAUUUGAGAGUGAGAGGUCUUAGAUUCGAUUCUCGUCAAAAGCGAAUUCGAAUCAUAUUAUUGUUUAGGGUAAAUUGCCAAUUUAGUCCCUGAAUUAUUACCUUAGUGAAAAUUAGAUUCCUAAACUAUUUUUUUCAGAAAAAUUAGUCCCUGAAAUAUAAAAAUCUGCCAAUUACAUCCCUAAUGUUAUAUUCGAAGCUACUAUAUUCAAAUUUUCGUCAAUUUAAGUUAUAUUACUUGCAUGCGAUACACAUUGGAGGGUAGAUUGGUAGUUUUUCAUAAAGAAAUAGUGUAUGGAGUUAACUUUGGAUGAGAAAUUAAUAGUGUACAAAAUAAUACAUAAAAUAUUGUAAAACACACAUAAAAGGAUCUAAGCCUAAAAAGAAAAAUCAUCCACAGAGCCCAGUCAGUAAGGUUCUAUACGCCAUAAGAAUGAAAUAAAGCAUUUUAUUGUGCACCAUAAGAUUGGAAGAAUCAAUCUUAUACCUAGCCAAUUACCAAUGGCUGAUCAAAGUUCUAGCUCAUAAAUAUUAAGUACAAAUGUGAAAAACAAACUGAAAUCUAUAGGCCAAAUUGAUAAUAAAUAAAUAAAUAAAAAAAGAACAUCUGCACGCCCGCACCGACAGUAAAGCUAGUUUAGUCUUUAGCGGAAUUCUUUUCUCUCUUCUAUCCCCCUUUUUUUUUUUUGGUCGAAGCCCAAUUCUUUUUCAUUCACGAAGUUUCUAGCAACUUCUGUUUUGCCUUCAUUGAGCUGUUGGGUUUCAUGCUCUUUCUAGUUUUACGGUACCUGAAAUUUUCCAGAAACGUCUUUGACUCCUCAUAAAUACGUCACUAACCCCACGCCCUUCACCAACCAGUGAAGCCAAGCAAGAACUCUCCCUACUGACUCCAAUUUGAUUCCCAAGGCAGCCAAACAAAACCACAUCAAGUUUUUUGUUUUUUAGGUUUUUUUAAUAAAUUAUAAAAAAUUAUCUCAAUUAUGAAUCCAACUACAAUCUUAUAUAUCAUGUUCAAACAUUACAAUGUUAUAUGAAUUCCUUUAAAUAUUCUAUUAAUUUUAAUUGUUAAAUGAUGAGAUGCCAGGAAUGGAGCUCACUCUUUUGAUAAUUGGAAUAAAAAAUUAAUCAAUUAAUAAUAAAUUAAUAAUUUUUUAUUUACAAUUAAAAUCAAUUAAAAAAAAAACUCUCUCAGCCGCAUCCCUCCGUUACCCCCCCCCCCCCCACAUUUUCCGAGCAACCAAACAAACCAAAGCAUAUAAUUUUUUCCAGAAAAAAAUUCAAAACCCAAGUCGAAAAAUCACAAGAGAGUGCAGACCUGAUUUUUUAUCCCAAAAACAUGCAUUGAAUGUGGAUCCGGCAAUUACAAGCAGGACGCGAUUCCCAAACCUCACAAAUCAAAAUUUACAAACCCUUAAAAUCCCAAUAGAUUUACGAGUUCCCGGAGUGGGAUUCAAAUCCCACGAAACCUUCAUAGCCAUUGGACCAAAACACUAGACUAUUUCUCUACUAGAGAAAAUUAAGAUUUAAUUUUUAAUUUAAACCCAUGAUGUUAUGGGUACAAUGAUUUUUGGGCAUCGGUGGAGACUACGCGCAGACGAAGGAGAUAAGGGAAUAGAGAAGACUCGCAGACUACCUCACCGAAAAGAUCUCAUCUCCCCUCCCCAGAACAACACCUUCCACUACUCCAAAAUUCCUAGGUACUCGAUUCCACUAGCAGAGACAACCACAUCAGCAAUGGCGAUGGCGAUUAUGCAGCUUCAAAUUCUCAUGAUGCACUCGAGAGCUCCCUUGCCGAUCUUUAGAACAUUGACGAUGGAUAGACGAGGAUUGGAAAAGUCUCGAUCAUCGUCAGGUCCAGGAAUCGCGGGCGGGAAGCUCAUACGGUAGCCGGAUCUCGAGGUGGUUUCGAUGACAGAAGACUCGCUGCAGACAACCAUCAAGAAGCAACAAGAGAGACAGAAGGAGAGAUGGGGUUUUUAAUAACUUUAAUUUUUUCAGAUUAAAAAUUCUUGACUUAUUUAAUUUUUAAAUUAUGAGUGGGUCCUAUUAUUGCCAAGUCAUCAUUUAGCAGUCAAACUGAUAGAAAAUUUAAUGAAGGUGUGACAUUGCAACGAAUUUAGAAGUUGAUGUAUGAUAUUGUAAUGUUUAAUACAUGAAGUAUGAGAUUGUGGUUCGACCCAUAUUUAAAGUAGUUUUGUAUAAUUUAUCAUUUUUUUUCUUCAAAAUGUUGCUUAUCCCCACCUCUCAACAAGGCAACAGCAUCUUCGACCAAUUCUCCCUCAACUUGUGUGACCCUUUCAAGGAUUUCCCAUUCCCUUCCUCCUCAUCACUCUCUGCAUUCCCUGAUUUUUCUCGGGAAAAUCGGCUUUUAUGGACACUACAGUCAACUGGAAGGAGACCCCCGAAACCCACGUGUUCAAAACGGACAUUUUGGGGCUGAAGAAUGAUGAGGUGAAGGUGGAGGUGGAAGACAACAAGGUGCUUCAGAUCAGCGAAGAGAAGAAUGUGGAGAAGGAGGACAAACACAACAAGUGGCAUAGAGUGGUAAGGAGCAGAGGUAAGUUCUUGAAAGAUUUCAGCUUCCGGAGAAUGCAAAGGUCGAUCAGAUUAAGGCUGCCAUGGAGAAUGGAGUUCUGAGUGUGAUCGUACCAAAGACAGAGGUGAAGAAGCCUGACGUCAAAGCCGUUGAAAUCAAUGGUUAAUUAAUAGUGAAAUAAUAAGAUUAUGAAUGUUGUGUUCUUAGGAAAUAAGAUUAUGAAAUAGAGUGCCCAAAAAAGAGUGAUUUGUGUAAUUGUUUGUAAAAUAAUGACUUGUGUGUAGUUAAUUUGAUACAAAUUUGGAUUUAUGCGUUUGAAAAUAAUAAAAAUUUUAAAUGAGGAUAAUCGGAAAACAACUUUUGUAGUAAAAAUUUAGAUUUAAAUUUUUUGGUAAAGUUCAUUAGGUUUCAUGUUCGAAUGUGACAUUUAUAUUAUUUUUCUGUUACUUGUCAUUUCACUCUAUAUUUUUUCACGGGGUAUCAUACCAUUGCCAAGCCCCUUUCUCACUUCUCCCUCUUCGUCUCUCUACACCUACAUCCCGUCUUCUCUCUCCUCCGUCUCACUUUCCAUGCGCAAAACAUUUUUGUGAGUUUUUAGAUUUUAAAGCUCUGAUUGGAUCAGUUUGAAUGAAAAGUUUUAACCAAGCUUCUAAAACUGGAGAAAGGAUUUCUAGGCAGCAAAAGGCAAGACCCAUGGCGUACAAUUGAGAUUUAAAAAAAAAUGGCUUUGAGAUUUGUUGGUUAGGAUGUCCUUCCCUCAAUUGUGAGUAGGGUUGGGCAAAUACCCAUUGGUUAUGGGUAACCGUGAUUACCCGCCAAUUUAAAUUAAAUGGUUACGGUUAUGGGUAACCGUUUAGAUAAAUAAACAGUUAUGGGUAUAACCGUUUACCCGCAAAGUGUAAAUGGGCGGUUAUGGAUAUUAACCGCGGUUAUAAACGGGUAACCGUUUACCCAUUUAUUUUAUAUAUAUAAAAUUAACACAAAAUAUGUUCUCUACUAGACAAAACUUAGAUCAAUGCUAUUGACUAUAAUGUGAUUUAUAUAGCGCUGUUUUAAUUAAUUAAAAAGUAAUAAACGAUAAUCCGUGCAGUAUUUUUAUCCUUAAAUUGAGUAAAUCAAAAGAAAUUUAAGUGAGAAAAAUAAACGGGAGCGCACUGAAAUCAUUUCCCUUGCAGUAUGCAUGCAUUAGAUUUUUUCAUGUGUUUACUGUAGCUAUAUGUUGAUCUUGGAUCGAACAAACUGGAAAUCGAACAUUCUUACAGGGCUAUUGAUCCCCUACAUUUUCUUUACCCUUCCUUCAAUAUUGUUCAACAUCUUCAAGUUCUUUUCUACACGUAGUUACCGUACAAGUUAUAUAUUUCCUGUUGUCUGUGUUUCUUAUUUGUUCUAUUCCCUAAAAAUCUUUAUUUUUCUAGGGGAGAGAAUGGAAAAUGGAUUGCUCUCGUUACGUUGGCAUAUAAAUAAUCCACGUAACGGUGCCCGUCGUUGUGUCUUUUCCGGUAAUUAUUUCAAUUAUUGGAAUGUUAUAAGGACUUAAAAAUUUAAAAUACGGAAAUGGAUGAUGAAUGUACCUAUAACGGUGUUUAAUUGUCACAAAAAAUAAAAAUUAUAACAAUUUUUUUUUAAAUUUCCAAGUUGUUAAAAAAUAUGUAGACGGGUGAAAAAUGGGUAACGGUAAAAAAAUAAAAAGAUAAAUGAGUUAAAAAUGGUAAAUGGGUAAACGGGUAUUAAACGGUUACGGUUAAAUGGAUAUGCGGUUAUGGGUAUGGUUAACCGUUUAUAAAUGGUUAUGGGUAUGAGUAUAACCGUUUAAGCAAUUACCCAACGGGUAAACGGUUAUGCGGGUAUGAGCAUAAACGGUUAUGGGUAAAUAACCGCGAUUGCCCACCCGGCAUAACCGUUGCCCAUCCCUAAUUGUGAGCAGCUCUUAAUAUGCUUUCUUCGCAGGAAGGCGAAUUGGAGACAAUAGUAUGCUUUUGAAGGAGUUUCUUAAAAAAACACUUUCAAACAAAUUUGUAUAGAAUUUAUAUGCUACGACUAAUAGUAGCCCUACUAUUGUUCGAAAUAGAUUACCAAUUCUAAUUGUGAUGUUUGUACCGUAAAAUAAUGUGAUGCCUCGAACGAAUGAGGAUGGCUCAAGCCAUGUAUUGUGCCUUGAGAAUGUGGGGUUGGGAAGCAAUGCAUCCAAUUUUUCUUUCACUUUAUCCUUCUUCUUUUUUUGUUAAAGAAAGUACCAUAUGGUUCGUAAGCAAAGUAUCCAAAUCUUUUUCACUUUUUUCUUGAUAAAGAGAAAUACAAAGUGGGUUCGAAAGCAAUGCAUCUCAUUCUCUUUCCCUUUGUCUUUUUCUUGUUAAAAAAGAAUGAAAAUACCUUACUUCAGAAUCACCUCCUCUUGAGGUAAUGCUCGUUAAAUAUAUUUUUUUUGCUUCUCUAUUUAUAUUGUUAGAGAACUCUUAUUAACCUUUCCCCAUUGAAGUUAUCUGCUCAUUGCAUUGCUGAGGUAACAUAAUAUGUCCUCCUUGUGCAUGAUACCAUUCAACAUUCAUAUUUUCUAGCAAAUUCGUGAAGUAACAAUGUCAGUACCAGACACAUGAGUUGUUGUUGAAUAAGGCAUAGAUUUUAGAAUUUCACUUUUACUCUAGUGAACUGUUGCAUUGGGUUGAUUUACAAUACAGGUACGUAUGUACAGCUUGGAAACUUUAUUUCUUUUCAAUAUUUGUUGUUUUAGGUGUUUAUUUUUACCCAUGUGUGACUAAGAAACAAAAGUGUUGGUUUUACAAUAUAUUUUCUAGAAAAUUCGUGAAGUACCAGAUCCAGCAGCAGACAUAUUGUUGUUGAACAAGGCAUAGAUUUCACAAUUUCAUUUUUUUCCCUACCGGUUAGUUGCAUUUGGUUGAUUACAAUACAGGUACGUAUGUUCUUAGAAACUUCAUUUCUUUUCAAUAUUUGUUGUUUUAGGUGUUUGUACUAUAUGUUUAUGCAUUUUGAUGUUCAUCCACGUCAACUGAAAUUGAGCUAAUCCCCCCCCCCUUAUAAUCUAAUUUUUAGUUUUCUCACUCAAUACAAAAAGUUUUAAAUCAUGUCUGCUAUAUGGUGGUGAAAUGUAAACUAUUAGAAAUUUGUAUGCUGUAAAAUAAUAAUGAGUAAAUAAAUAUACAUGCAGUGAAACCGUCAAUUGAAAAUAUGACUUUACCCCUUGAAAUUCAAUUUUCUUUAACUAAAACUCAUCAUAGUAUAUUUUCCUAACAAAAACUCAUUGACUUUACCUCUUGAGAAAAAAAAAGGGCCUUCGGGUUUUUACAUAUAUAUAUUUUUUUCACUUCUCCUAUUUAUAUUGUUAGAAAGCUCUUAUUAACUCUUCCCCAUUGAAGUUAUCUGUUCAUAUAUAUGCAUUGAUGUGCAUCAUCUUUCCUCCUUGUGCAUGCUAACAUUCAUCAUUCAAAUUUUCUUGCAAAUUCGUGAAGCACCACUACCAGUACCAGACAUAUGAUUUGUUGCUGAACAAGGCAUAGAUUUCAAAAUUUCAAUUUUACUCUGUUGGACAAUUGCAUUGCGUUGAUUUACGAUACAGGUAUGUAGUACUUCUCGAAAACUUUGUUUUUAUCUUGCUUGACUAAGAAACUAAAAUGUUAGUUUUACAAUCUAGUGCCCACCAGAUAUUCUAUUUCAGGAUUCAGCUCAACAAUUUUAUUGAUUAGGUUUUGACUUCACACAAUUUUGUAUUUUUAGAUGUUUAAAAUAUCCCUAGUAACUUAUGUCAGAUUAAAAACAAAUUUUAAUAUCAUGAUUUCAUUGCAUAUUAAUAAUAAAAGUAUAUGAUUCUACGGUUUUCAUUUGUUUUAUUUUAUUUUUUUUCCUUUUUAAAUUCCCUAGUUGCUUUUCAAAUUUGCAUAAAUUAGGAUUUUUUUUUUGGUUUAAUUUUUCCGUUUUCAAAAUAUGGGAGCAUUAGUUACCAACAAAAUAUAAGAAUGUUAUUUUUCAAAAUUAUUUAAUUAUAUUCUAUAUAAAUAUGGGUAAAUUAUUUUACUACACAUAUAUAAUAACAAUAAAAUGUGCUUAAUGUAUGUAAUAAUACAUGCAAAAUAAUUUACCUACAACAUAAGGGAUGUGAUUUGGUUCAAGUUUAUUUUACCUACAUUUCACAUAUUGAUAUGGGGAAAUUAUUUUAUGUAGAUUAAAGUACCUACUUAAAGAUGAAGAAUGUGAAUUGGUCCAAGAUUUAAUUUACAAUUAUUUCAAAUAUAUAGAUAUAAGUAAGGGGAAUUUUGAUCUAGGUGCAACAUCCCUAGCAUUUAGACUUUUUUAUUAAACUAUUUUCUACAAUUUUGGUGCCACGUUUUCUAAAAUGUCCUUCUUUUUGAAAUUCAAAAUUACAUGAAGUGCCAUUGAUCCACCAAUUUAUUCAAAAAGUAGUUCCGAAAUCUAGCCUUCUUCAAACCAAAUUUAUUAUUUUUAUUAAUCCAAAACAAAGACACAUAUUAUUAAGUUAUCAACCAAUGACAUGUGCCAAAAAUUAAAAUUAAAAUAACCAAAACUAGAAUCAAACGUACCAUAAACUAGAAUUAAACGUACCAACACUAAAACUAAAUGUACCAAUCAACGAUAUAUACAAAAUAAUUCUCUCACUAAAAUGUAUACAUAAAAUAUAAACAUCCACCAUUUUCAUUGUCUUGAAGGUAAAAUUAUAUUUUAAUUUUAGGAGAAAAAAUAUUUUUUACGAAGAAAUUAUAACAAAGAGAUCAUUUGAUAAGCAUCAGGUGCGACUUUGUGGCAAGGCUUCAUAUCGUUUCGGGUUUGAACUAAGUGAUGCUUAGGCCAUCUCCAACCGAAGGGUUCAGAGGGCCAGAAGGUCGAAAAUAGCCCGAAAACCGUCUCCAACCGAGGGCUAGGCCAAAGGGCUCUGGAAUCUGGGAGGGCCCCACGGAAUCGGAGAGGGCUGGAGGGCUGGAGGGUUGGCUGCAUGCAGCCAGCCAGCCCGGGGCUGGCUAUUUUUUUUUAAUGUUUUGUUAUUCCUGUCGGUUAUAACCGACAUGAAUACAUUUAUACUAAAUAAUAGCAUGUAUUCCUGUCGGUUAUAACCGACAUGAUUUCUUAAGAAAAAAUUCAAAUGCAACGGCUACUAGACGUUGCAUUUGAUUUAUUUAUUUAUUUAUUUUCAGUUUUAUUAUUAUUUUUUAUUUACAAAAAUUUUCAUAUAACUUCUAUUUUUUCCUAUAACUUCUAUUUCACAAAAUUUAUUUCAUAUUUUUUUUUAAAUUCCAUUUUUUCCCUAUAACUUCUAUUUCACAAAAUUUGUUUCAUAUUUUUUUUAAAUUCCAUUUUUUUCCUAUAACUUCCUAAGCCAUUAUACAACAUUAAAUUAAAUUAAGUAACAUGAAACAACAUUAAACAAUAUGAAACAACAUUACAUAACAUUAACCAACAUAAAAAUUAUACAACAUGAAACUUAAAUGGAGACGGUUUUUAAAUGGGUUGAAUUUAAGUUGUAGUCUUUAAAUAAUAAAUUAUGUUUGGCCCUAUGGUCUUCGGUUGAAGACGGUUUUUUGUGACAGGGCUAAAACGAGCCAUCUGGCCCUCGGUUGGAGACGGAGGCAAAUAUGACCCUGUACUGUUCAUUAAAAUAUUAAUAUCUUGAAGAAUCUUGGAGGGCUAGAGGGCUAAAACGAGCCAUCUUGCCAACCAUCGGUUGGAGAUGGCCUUAAGCCUUAAAGUAUGAGUCAUAGAGGAAAAAUAACAAAGAUCUACACAAAACUCAAACAAAAGAUAAAGAUAGAGAAAACAAUAGAUAAGUUUUCUGGGUGGGCUCAAAACUGUCAUAAAUAGUGGGCGAUGGAGGAAGGAGGCUUGAAUUUUGAAACGAACCAUGAGGGUUGCUGGAAAAAAUAAAAAAUAAAAAAAUAAAAACUAGAGGAGGUGUGGGGUCUAUGGUAAUGGGAUGAGGAUGAAUGAAAAAACCAAUAAAACAAAAAUAUAAAGAAAUAAAAGAAUUGAAAAAACCCGAUAUAUCACGUUGUUUGCUGUAUCGUGUAAGCUUGACAAUGAGCUUAUAAUAAUGUGAUUCAAAUUCGCAUUUGACGAGAAUCGAACAUAAAACCUCUCACUUACAAGUAAAUAAAAAUAUCACUAAACUGCAAUACUAAGUGAUAAUACAACUUAGAUUUAAACAGGACAAAAAUAUAUGAUUAUUAAUGUUGUGCUGGGGUGCUUCUUUGGUUUAGGCAUCAGAGCACUGAGCGCGGGACUUACAAAAGCCACCAACAAGGAGAAGCAUUCCGGUUGUUGUCUUUGAUUUCAGAAGGAAAUGGAAAUUAUAAUUGCAAUUGCCUCAAAAAUUGGAGAGUCCUUGGUCACCAAUAGGAACAGAGUUUGGCUAUUUGGUUAAUUACCAUUCCAACCUUGAAAGUCUUAGGGGUGAGAUAAAAAAGCUUUUUGACAAGAAUGAUGGAGUGCAAAGAUUGGUAGAUGCUGCCAAAAGGAAUGGUGAAAUCAUCAAACCUGAUGUUCAGAGUUGGCUAAAGAAUGUGAACGACGACAUGGUCAAAAAAGUGUUGCAGUUUGAGGAUGAAAUUAACAAGAAAGGCGAUGUGUGUAUCGAUGGAGCUUGAGUCGGAGAGCCUAUAAGAUUAAACAAGAAGUUCUUCAGCUCCAAAACGAAGGAGCAUUUGAAAAUAUGGCCCAUCCUGCACCUUCACCAGAGAUAUGGUCAACAUUCAAGAAAGGUUUUAAGGAUUUCAAGUCCAGAAUGGCAUACAUGAAUAAGGUGAUAGAGGGUUUGAAGAGGGAACGAGUACGAAUGAUCGGGAUUUGUGGAAUGGGGGGUGUGGGUAAAACCAUAAUGGUGAAAGAAAUCAUCGUAAGAUUGGCAAAACUAGACUUGUUUGAUAAAAUUGUAAUGGCAACUGUGUCUCAAAGUCCAAGUAUUAGGAUGAUCCAGUCGGAAAUUGCAGACAAAAUAGGUUUGAAAUUUGAGGAGGAAUCAGAGCCCGGAAGAGCACUAAAGCUACGUGGGAGACUCAUGGAAAUAAAGAGGAUCCUGAUUGUAUUAGAUGAUGUCUGGACAGAGCUUAAUUUUGAGGCUAUAGGACUCCCUUGUGGAGAUGAUCAUGAAGGGUGCAAAGUUUUGUUGACAUCACGAGAUUCGGAAGUCUGCAACAGGAUGGGAAGUCAACAAAUUAUUGCUGUCCCGAUUUUAACACCAGAAGAAUCACAGGAGCUCUUUCGAGAAAUGGUAGGUGAAUCCUUCAAUGAUCCUUAUUUACGUUCCACUACAAAAGAUGUAUUGAAGGAAUGUGGAGGUUUACCUAUUGCAAUUGUAACUGUUGGAAAAGCCCUAGAAAAGAAAAACAAGUGUGAAUGGGAUGAUGCCCUUAAUCAGCUGCGAAAAUCUACCCCAGUGAACAUCCCUGGAGUGAAUGACAAAGUUUAUUCUAGCAUAAAAUGGAGUUAUGAUAGAUUGGAGAGUGAUGAAGCCAGGUCAUGUCUUUUACUUUGUUGUUUAUUUCCAGAAGAUUAUGAUAUUCCAAUUGAGUAUUUGAUUCGAUAUGGGUGGGGUCGAGGAUAUUUUAGCAACAUCUUUACUUUGGAAGAUGCAAGAAAUAGAGUGCAUUAUUUGGUUGGCCAACUAAAAAGAAGGUUUUUGUUGCUCGAUAGUGGCAAGAGUGAGGCUACAAAAAUGCAUGACGUAGUUCGCGAUGUUGCCAUAUGGAUUGCUUCAAGAGAUCCACAUGGAUUUUUGAUAAGAAGUGAUGCUGAAAAUAAAGGGUGGCCAAAUUUAGCUACAUAUGACCAUUACACUACCAUCUCACUUGUUGGCGAAUUGGAGAUUCAACAUGGUUUGAAAUGCCCAAAACUUGAGCUUCUACAGACGAUGGAAGGACGUUUUUCAGAAGGUAGCAUGGACAACAUUUGUAAGGCGAUGAAAGAACUGAAGGUUUUAGCUUUGGUGGGAAUGGAAAUGGAAGACCUAGGCUCAUCAAGAUCACUAGGAUUACUGAAGAAUCUGCGGACCUUGUGCCUAGAUGGGUCUAAUUUUGAUGGCACGUCUACUGAUGUUAUUGGGAGUUUGGAGAAUUUAGAAAUCCUCAGCUUUCGGGAAUGUGAUUCCAUGCGUGAGUUGCCGAGGGAAAUUGGACGACUUAAACAGUUAAGGUUGUUAGAUACGACAGACUGUCGGAAACUUGAGGUGAUUCCACAUGGUAUCUUAUCCAGCUUAUGUAGACUUGAAGAACUGUAUAUGCAUUGUAGCUUUAAUAAAUGGGAAAUUGGAAGAGGAAGAGAAGAAAAGGGGAUGGCAAGCAUUUCUGAGGUGAUGUCUCUGUCUCAUCAUUUGAAGGUUCUAGCCAUAAAUAUACCCAAUGUCAUCCACUUGUUGCCAAAAGACAUAGUCUUUGAAAAGCCCAACAAUAAGAUUCGGUAUAUGCCUUGCAAGAUGGACAGAAGCAGUCAAAGAAUUUUUUAGGACAACUUAUGCAUUCGAAAAUUGUUUGAUGAUUGAAAAAAGUGAUGCAAGGGAGUUGGAGGAGAGUCAAGCAGUUAGACUUUUGUUGAAAAAAUCUAAAAAUUUGACUUUGCGCAAAGUUAAGAAUUUCUCUGUCCUCACUGAUUUAGACCAAGAAGGAUUUCAAGAUUUGAAAGAUUUGGAUCUUCGGUAUUGUCCACAUAUCGAGUAUCUUGCAAAUGGAACAAGUGGGUUUUUGACCAACCUAAGAAUCAUUCAAUUGAAAUUUUGUGGUGUCUUAAAAUAUGUCUUUUCAUUAUCAGUAGCAAGAAACUUGGUACAACUCCAGGAAUUAAACAUUUAUGGAUGUGAUCAAAUGGAAGAAAUUGUGUCAAAGCAAGGGAGAGAACAUGAGGAGGAAGCCGAUAUAAUAUCUUUCCAUAAAUUAACCAAUUUGACUCUCGAGGGUCUAGGGAGUUUGGUUGGUUUCUUCCAAGCCAACAAGCUAUACUCCAACCAAGAAGAGGUAUGUCCCACUCUCCAAUCUCUAUGAGAUGAGGAGGCAGCCGAUAUGUGGAAAUUUGAAAUUAUUUAACUGAUAAUUAUUUUUCUUUUUCAGGAAAAAACGGCAAGGGUUGAGCAUCAAUCUGCAGGCAUAUUUGAAAAAGCAAUAUUUCCAUCAACGUGCAUUUCAUGGUUUCCAAGUUUAGAAAAGGUGAGAUUGGGAUUUAUGGAGUUUGAAGGCGUGCUAUUUGAUCUUAAAAUCCAUGUAGUUAUGGAUGGGCAGACAGCUCCAACUUUUCCCCAGUUACGUGGGUUGGAGAUAAUUUUUUGUUCGUUUACACAUUUGUGGAAAAACAUUCCAUCUGGAUUUCAGGGCUUCCGAAAUUUGAGAUGUUUGGAUAUAAGAGAAUGUUGUGGUCUAAAAUAUGUGUUCUCGCAUUUAAUUGCCCGAGAACUUUUGAAUCUUGAAGAGGUAAAGAUAUCUAGAUGUCCGGACAUGGAAACUAUAGUUAGAAUCAAAGAGCAAAAUGAAGAAGAGGCGACAAAACACAUGAUUUUGUUUCCGAAACUGAACACAUUUGAACUACAAUACCUGCCUCGUCUCACAAGUCUUUGUCCAGAGGGAUUUACAUUUCUAUGGUCAUCCAUAAAAAAUAUGCACGUGAACAAAUGUGAAAAUUUGAAGACAUUGGUGAAUAACUUGAAGAAGGAUUCAACAAGUCAUGAUUUCAGCACUUCUCCAACACGUUCAUCGAAUUGGUGCCCUGCUGGAUGUGGAUGCGCACCAUACUCAAGACCAAACGCCCACCGCCCCAUUGAAAUAUUGCCACGUCCAAUUAACCUGGAGGUAAGCUUUUAAAUCAGGUUCAAUUAACCUCUAUAAGUACAACUUUUAAUUAGUAUUGUAUCAUCUUGUUGAUCGUGUUUAAUUUUCUAGAUUACACCAACUAAUCUUGAAGACUCAAAUGAUGAUGAUAAUCUCGAAAAUCUUACUGUAAGUGACUGUAAUUCGAUGGAAGUGAUUUUCCAACUCAAGGGACCGAAGCAUGAAGAAAGUAGUCACUCUGUUGAAGCAUUCAAUAAAUUGAGUUCCUUGCAGUUAUAUACAUUGCCAAGUUUAACGCGUGUUUGGGAGACGGGUAGUUCACAACCGAUGUUUACGGGAAGCAGCUUCGGAAACUUGAAAUCGCUGCGGGUCUAUUAUUGCAACCAGUUGAAAUACUUGUUUUCAUCGUCCAUAGUCAAACUUCUUGUGAGUGUAGAGAACAUAGAAGUUCAGAAGUGUGAGCAGAUGGAAGAAAUCAUUGCCGCAGAAGAAGAAACAGCUGAAAUAAUUACAUUACCUAAAGUGAAGUCCAUCAAGCUUUUAAGGCUGCCAAAACUCAAGUAUUUUUGUGGUGAAGCUUAUACUUUGAAGUUGCCGUCUUUGGAGUUAUUGAAGGUUACUGACGUGCAAAACUUAAGCCUAUUAGCUCCUAAACUUACCGGCACACAUCCCCGAUUGCAAGUACGCACCGCGUUGGGAGUGGCUGAAUGGAAGGGGGACCUCAAUGCCACUCUAAGGAAUAUUUACGUCACAAGGUAUGCUUUAAUAUAAGGUUUUUAAUUUCCAAUCAUUUAUGGCAAACAGCACAAAAAUUUCGACAACAAAUUUAGGCAAAGCAUAAUCAACAGUUCAGAUUUAGUUUGACGAAAGUGUAAUCAAAAUUUAGUCAAAAAUACACAUACACACACAUAAAUAUGUAUGUGUGUAUGUGUGUGUGUGUGUGUGUGUGUAUAUAUAUAUAUAUGUAUGUGCGUAUGUGCACACUAGAGUGUAUUUAGAUAUGUUUUUCUUCUUUUGAAAACUCAAUUAUAUCUCAAGAAAAUAUCUGUCUUUUAUUUCUAACACAGGAAGGGUGAAGAUGAUGAAAUCGACAGGAAGGAUGAACACAAUUAAUCGAUCAAGCACAUCUUCAACUUCUUCUAGGUUUAGUAAAAACUGCUAUUUUCGGAAACACAUAUACAAUAAGCAUAACCGUUUCAACUUAUUUGAGUUUCAGUGAUUUCUAAUAUUCUCCAAUGCAUGCAGGACAACAAUUCAAAGAAGGUUGUGGCUUCAACAAUUCGUUUACCAUCUCAUAUGUACAAACCAAUAAAAUGUCAUUUGUUGCACCAGACUUUCAUUCCAAAAAUACAUCGUCAAUGACAUUUAUCUAAGUUCUCAUUAUUAAUGUUUGUAUCUAAGUUCGCAUUAUUAAUGUUUGUUUAUUUGCCCGAAGAAAUGAGAAAUGCUUAUGUAAAAAUAAAUACAACAACAACAACAACAACAAAGCAUUUUCCCACUAAGUGGGGUCGGCUAUAUGAAUCCUAGAACACCAUUGCGCUCGGUUUUGUGUCAUGUCCUCCGUUAGAUCCAAGUACUCUAAGUCUUUUCUUAGAGUCUCUUCCAAAGUUUUCCUAGGUCUUCCUCUACCCCUUCGGCCCUGAACCUCUGUCCCGUAGUCACAUCUUCGAACCGGAGCGUCAGUCGGCCUUCUUUGCCCAUGUCCAAAUCACCGGAACCGAUUUUCUCUCAUCUUUCCUUCAAUUUCGGCUACUCCUACUUUACCUCAGAUAUCCUCAUGCCCAAUCUUAUCCUUUCUCGUGUGCCCACACAUCCCACGAAACAUCCUCAUCUCCGCUACACCCAUUUUGUGUAUGUGUUGAUUCUUCACCGUCCAACAUUCUGUGCCAUACAACAUCGUUGGCCUUAUUGUCGUCCUAUAAAAUUUUCUCUUGAGCUUCAGUGGCCUACGACGGUCACAUAACACGCCGGAUGCACUCUUACACUUCAUCCAUCCAGCUCGUAUUCUAUGGUUGAGAUCUCCAUCUAAUUCUCCGUUCUCUUGCAAGAUAAAUCAUAGGCAGCAAAAAUGGUCGCUUUUUGUGAUCUUCGCUAGAUUGCUCCGGUCAUUAGUGUGGAUAAGUAUAUAAAUGAAUAGAGAUAGGAAAGCAAACACAAGAUGUACGUGGUUCACCCAAAUUGGCUACGUCCACGGAAUAGAAGAGUUCUCAUUAAUUGUGAAGGGUUUACACAAGUACAUAGGUUCAAACUCUCCUUUAGUGAGUACAAGUGAAUGAUUUAGUACAAAUGACAUUCGGAAAUAUUGUGAGAGAAUGAUCUCGUAAUCACGAAACUUCUAAGUAUCGGAGUGUGGUAUCGUCUUGACUUGCCUUAUCUGUCUCAUAGGUAGAUGUGGCAUCUUCUCUGGAAGUACUCUUCCUCCAUCCAGGGGUGGUAUCUUUAACUGGUGGAGAUGCACAAGGUAAUGUAUCAAUUUCACUUGAAGCUUACUUGUAGUUUCAGGCUUGGUCAAGCGCGAUACAAACCAUGUAGUAGGAGUCCCCCAAGUCGCCGAGCUAGGGGAUCUACUGAAAGAGGUGACAGACAAGGUAAGCAAUCAGAGCUCCGGCUGAUUGUUCACCUUCUCCCCAUCUUGCAGCAGCAUGAAGGAUAAAGAGAAGAAAAAAUGAGAAGAGAUGAUAUGGGAUACUUUUGCUUUUGAAGAAGUAACUUUCCACAGGCUUAUUCUUGAACUGAGCUGGAGGGUUUUCUGGUUUCCUCCAGAGCCGACUGAAGAAUUUGAGGGUCAAAACAAGUCCAUCAAAUCUAGAGUACGUUCGACCCUGCUGAUAUGGGAUACUUUUGCUUUUGACAGAGUAAUGGAUGUAUCGGAACGUGUGCUGUUACGCUUGUCUCCACAUGCUUCCUUGUAUCCUUCGCACUUGCCCUAUCUGUUCCUCAAGCAGAUGCGGUAUCUUCCCUGGAAACAUAAGAUGUUGAAGAUGAGUACUCGAGAGCAAUGUCAGGUAAGUAAUCAGGUAAGGGGUUCCAGGCAGUCAGUUCCUGGCUGGAAGCUUGAUUCCAAGUGCUGACUGAUUACUCUCUUUCUCCUUGUCUUGCAGGUAAAAACAAGGCCAAAGGAAAAGACAGGGAAAAAGCAUGAUAUGGGAUACUCUUGCUUUUAAUCUUGAUGAUAUGAGAUAUUCUUGCUCUAGUAUAGCUUGUUUGCAGAGGUAUUAUCGGGGGGAAAGAAAGCUGAAUAUUUCGAAAGGCUUCGUUGGGAGUGCCCUCUCAGAUAUGAGGAAGGGUUGAGCAUUUUUGCAGGUCUGCCUGUCCGUUGGGGAUGGAGGUCGACAUAUAUAGGAGUCUCCCUAACAACAAGUAGUAAUGCUAUUCCUUUACCCUGCUUGGUCAUAGCACGGUAGUGGGAGCUGCCAGCUUCACAUGUUUUAACUCUGUCAGAGCACUUUGAAAAAGUGGUCUGUGGUAUCUGGCUCUCGAGAAGUCUUCGACAGAAUGCCCAUAAUUUUCGCAAAGCUGAGUGUGUGUGUGACAGGUGCUGAUAAGGCUAGAAAAGUAGGUGUCUCUUCGAUUUCUGAGAUCGGCCCUCGUGGUCUCUGAGCAGCCCAGCUUUUGAGAAAUCGAGCGUCUCUUCGAUUGAUUCGGAGAACGAUGCAUCUUCGAUUUUUAAGAAAGCAAUCAUGCUGGGGGUCUGGCUCUCGAGAUUUGGGGAGCAGUGUCACUUCGAUUUUUGAGAAAGUAAUCAUGUUGGGAGUCUGGCUCUCGAGAUUCGGAGGGCGGUGCCUCUUCGAUUUUGGAGCAAGCAAUCUUGUUGGGAGUGUUUUCUCGAAUGUGAGUAAAGGUUGGGCAUGUUUGCUAGUCUACCUUGCCACGAAGCACAGAGGUUGACACACAGGGAUUUUCCAAUUAUCCAGCAAUGGUACUGUUCCUUUACCCUCUCUUCGAUUUUUGAGAAAGUAGUCAUGUUGGGAGUCUGGCUCUCGAGAUUCGGAGGACGGUGCCUCUUCGAUUUUGGAGCAAGCAAUCUUAUUGGUAGUGUUUUCUCGAGUGUGAGUAAAGGUUGGGCAUGUUUGCUAGUCUACCUUGCCACGAAGCACAGAGAUUGACACACAGGAACUUUCCAAUUAUCCAGCAGUGGUACUGUUCCUUUACCCUUGUGGGUAAUAAUAUGGUAGCUAGACCUUCAAAAUUUAUGGGUCUAAACUUGUUAGUGCUGUUUCUUUGCUAUUCUUUUACCUUUCUUGGCCAGAGCGAUGUAGUGGGAGCUGCAAGCUUCACGUGCUCAACUUUGGCAGAGAACUUUGGCAAAGUUAUCUGUGGUACCCAUGAGCUAUUGUUGCGUGUGGGAAGUGGGUGAUUGAACAGUAAGAUUCAUGUGUUUUCUACUUCCUCAGAAGUCUUCGACAGAAUGCCCAUAAUUUCCGCAAAGCUGAGUGUGCGUGUGACAGGUGCUGACAAGGCUGGAAAAGUAGGUGCCUCUUCGAUUUCUGAGAUCGGCCCUCGUGGUCUCUGAGGAGCCCAGCUUUUGAGAAAGCGAGCGCCUCUUCGAUUUCUGAGAUCGGCCUUCGUGGUCUUUGAGCAGCCCAACUUUUGAGAAAGCAAACGCCUCUUCGAUUUCUGAGAUCAACCCUCGUGGUCUCUAAGCAGCCCAACUUUUGAGAAAGCAAACGCCCUCUUCGAUUUCUGAGCAGGCGCCUCUUCGAUUUCUGAAAGCUCCGUCGAGUGCAGAUUUUUAUAGGGGCUGGCAUUAAGUUCCAAAGCACACUUGAAUCUCCACCAGUAGAAGCUCCAUUCUUGCACUUCUAAGAUCUUGAUUUGUCCGACCUCUUCUCUCUUCAACACCUUUGAAAAUGUCUGGCCCCUCCGACCGUCGUUUUGACUUGAACCUUGUUGAAAGAGGCAGCCCCGCCUUCUCCAGACAACAUAUGGCGCCCAUCCUUCGUCUCCCCUACUGGUCCUCUUACCGUUGGGGAUUCCGUGAUGAAGAAUGAUAUGACCGCUGCGGUGGUGGCCAGGAACCUUCUCACUCCCAAAGAUAACAGACUACUUUCCAAACGGUCUGAUGAGUUAGGCUGUUAAGGAUUCUCUGGCUCUCAGUGUUCAGUGUGCAGGUUCUGUGUCUAAUAUGGCCCAACGCCUAUUUGCUCGAACCCGCCAAGUUGAAUCAUUGGCGGCUGAAGUGAUGAGUCUCAAACAGGAGAUUAGAGGGCUCAAGCAUGAGAAUAAACAGUUGCACCGGCUCGCACAUGACUAUGCUACAAACAUGAAGAGGAAGCUUGACCAGAUGAAGGAAACUGAUGGUCAGGUUUUACUUGAUCAUCAGAGAUUUGUGGGUUUGUUCCAAAGGCAUUUAUUGCCUUCGUCUUCUGGGGCUGUACCGCGUAAUGAAGCUCCAAAUGAUCAACCUCUGAUGCCUCCUCCUUCUAGGGUUCUGUCCAGUACUGAGGCUCCGAAUGAUCCCCCUCCGGUGCCUUCUCUUUCUGGGGCUCUACCGACUGCUGAGACUUCUCCUAAGCAACCUUUGUGAAGGCUCCCUCUUGUUUGUUUAUUUUGACUCAUGUAUAUGUACAUAUUUGUAGCUUAUCGGGGAUAUCAAUAAAUAAGCUUUCCUUCAUUUCAACGUAUUGUGUUAAAUACACCAAAGCCUUCUUCGCUAAGUUCUUUGAAUUUUCUUUUGUUGAAGCUUGUAUGUUGAAGCUUUCUGAGUGGAGCAUGUAGGUUGGGGUAGUGUUCCCUUAAUUUCCCGAGUGAGGAAAACUUCUCGGUUUGAGACUUGGAAAAUCCAAGUCACUGAGUGGGAUCGGCUAUAUGAAUCUUAGAACGCCAUUGUGCUCGGUCCUGUGUCAUGUCCUUCGUUAGAUCCAAGUACUCUAAGUCUUUUCUUAGAGUCUCUUCCAAAGUUUUCCUAGGUCUUCCUCUACCCCUUCGGCCCUGAACCUCUGUCCCAUAGUCGCAUCUUCUAAUCGGAGCGUCAGUAGGCAUUCGUUUACUAAUUCAUAUGCAUAAUUUAAACAUUUUCAAAUGCUUAUCAUCAUUUACUAAUUCAUAUGCAAAUUUAAACAUUUUCAUAUUCAUUAGAAGCAUACAGAAAAGAUACAUGGCACACAAGAUAUGUACUUUUCGACGUAGGAGCUCAAUUCUUGUAUACAGACACACUUCCUUUAGCUUGCAUUGGACCUCGUACUUUCCACUAAUGUAAAUGCCACAUCAAAAGUGAAAGAGCGAUUCCGGAAACCAAUUACAUCCAUGUGCUUGCACUUCAAUGCAGAAACAGAAUAAAACAUAAUCCUAAAGUUUUCGGACCAUCAUUAAACACGCAAGCAUAAUAAACAUUCACAAUCCAGCAAAUGGGUGUUCAUAAUUUCAAGCAGAAACAAAAGUCAAAGAAAAUAAUGAAUUAAACUCUGAAAAAUUUUGUACUCAAGUAUCUCCCGUGGUCUUGAACCAAGUCUCAGCACAUUGCUUAUAAGCAGCACCCAAAUCCCCCUUGCAAGAACACCCCAAGUCAAUCGGGACCCCAGAGGCAAGGUCGGUCCCACCACCUCCCUCCAAACCCAAGUGGCAAAUCCUGCAAUUUCUCUAACUUUACUCAAAUGCACCACCUUCUUCACCUCCGAAACCCCGCUCUCUCCACUGAACAGCACUGGAUGUCGUCAGAGUCAUCCGAGUCUGACGCACCGCUGCCUCUGGUGGCCAAAAGGCGGUGGUGGGUUGUCUCGGGAGCUGACAUUCGUGAAACCCAGAAAGAGAAAUGGCAUGAAAUCAACGCUCAAACCACCACCACGUCCACCCUCUUGACCUCGCGAGCUCGAACCCGAGCUCCGUUUCGUAGGAAACCAAAACUAGAGGCUCUAGUUCGAAGCUCCGACGAGAAAGAAACUUCCCGACGAAGUUCCCGACACUUUUCCGACCGCUCCACACCGUAUUGGAAGAGUUGGAAGCCACCACACAACUCCCUAACGUCCCUGGGUCAAGUUUGACGCAAUCCCCAACUCGAAUACACCCGGCUUCGAAGCUUUGGGUUUUUUUGCGGAGACUUUCAGGCCAAUUUCAGUACAUGUACGUCUGCUUUUUGGAGUUCCAAGAGGUAUAAACUUGUUCCUUGUGCUUCAUUUCCAUAUAAAGAACGUAAAAAAUGGUUGAGAAAUGAGCAAGUUAUGGCCUUUUGAAAUUGUCCUCAGUUCCCGUCGAUUUCAGGGACCUUCCGGCGUGUUUUUGGCUAAAUCACGGCGAGUUAGCCGUUGCUAUGGGUACCAAUCUGUUCAUCUCAUUCCGAGGUAUCCUUUCCAUUCUGAAUCACUCAAUUUAGUUGAGAUAUGUGGAAGUUAUGAUGAUUUAAAAAUUUCCCAGAAAACCGGUGAUAAACUGCAUAAUCCGGCGACUCCGCGACCGGAACCUGGUAAAAAGUAGAUGAAAAAACGCAGUUCUAAAACAACUAAAACACAUAAUUGCAUAUCAUUCCUAAAACACAGUGAAAUUUGUGAGAGUGGCCUAAAUAGAAAGAAAAAGAUAUGAAAUAAAGUUCCUUUGAAAUCGUAACCAGUAAAAGACCCGAUCAUGUUCAGGAAAGGUAACAUCACAUAUCUAACUUAAACUAGGGAAUGUCAUACUUAAUGUGAUCAUAACUAAUAACUUUUAUUUUUUACAAACUGCUAAUAACUUAUAGAGUAAAUUUAAGCAAUUGUCCCUCAACUUUAGUAAAAUAGGAGCAAUGGUCUUUCAAUUAAAAAUCUAUUACUAUUGGUCCCUUAACUCAUCAAAAUGUGUAGCUCCCUUAACUCAUCAAAAUGUGUAGCUAUGAUCAUUUUCUUUAACUUCAUCAAAAUUUGGUCAAAAUGAGUUAUGUUGGAAAGACCAUUGCUACAAUUGACUUAAAGUUAGAGGGACCAUUUCUCCAAUUGAAUUAAAGUUAAGGGACUAUCUCUCUAGUUUGAUUAAAGUUGAGAGACUAUUGGUAAUGUAUUUUUAGUUGAGGGAUUAUAGUUGCACGUUUUGAUAAGUUGAAGGACCAAUGAUAAUGAAUUUUUAAUUUAGAGAUCAUUGUUCUGAUUGAGUUAAAGUUGAGGGAUCAUUACUAAAAUUUACUCUUAACUUAUAAAGUACCAAGUAUUUGAAUUUUUAAAUUAACCUGGUGACAUUCAACUGUCGAUAUUCCCCGGUUCUGGCAUCCACACCAAUCAAUGUUGUAAUUCUUAAUCCUGUAGUUUGUAAGAUUAUCUUUCCUACCUAGAAUGUGAAUAAUCUUUAUAUAACUACACUUAUAUAUGCUCUAAAUUUACAUUUAUGUAGUACGGGUACAUUCUGCACAGCACACCCUCACUACUGGUUUAAAUUACUUAUAAGCUUCGGUUUUAUUUAUUCAAAUUUUUGCUCAUCAUCUAUACUUUAUGACUUUCGUCAAUUUCCAGGUGUCGGCUAGUACGCCUUGACUUCAGUUGGGGUGUGUCAAAGUUUGUGAAGCACCACUUCCAAUUCCAAGCAUAUGAUUUGGUGUUGAACAAGGCAUAAAUUUCAUAAUUUCACUUUUACUCUGGACAGUUGUAUUGUGUUGACUUACAAUACAGGUACUACAUAUUUCUCGAAAACUAUUUCAUUCCAAUAUUUGUUGUUUUAGACGUUUGUUUUUACUCUGCCUGUCCAAGAAAUAAAAGUGUUGAUUUUACAUUCUAGUACCCACCAUAUACUAUAUUUCAGCUGAGCUCCAAUACUAAGAAACCUAAGGAAACCAUCACCUAUUAAAAAAUAAUCAACUAAAAGUGAGCUAAUCCCCCUUAUAAUCAAAUUUUUAUUAUUUUCUAAACCGAAAAAAAAAAUAUGGAUUGGGGUAGCUAGUAGAAAUGAACAAAUAAAAUAUCAUGUGACAGUGAGUUUGGGAACCAUACAAAUGCAUGUGUUAUUUUUAUCAUGCUACAUAGAAAGUUUGAAAUCGCUUCUGUGAUGCAAUGGUGAAAUGUAAACUAUUCAAAAUUUGCAUACUGUAAAAUAAUAAUGAUAAAAUAAAAAUACACAUGCACUAAAAUGAUCAAUUGAAAAUAUGAUUGUACCCUCAAAGUUCAAUUUUCUUUAACUAAAACCCACCAUAGUAUAUUCUCCUAGCAAAAACUUAAUAACAAGGCUCCAACUCAGAAAUUUUCUUAAUUAAGUUUGACUUUUGCACAAUUUUGUAUUUUUGGAUGCCUAAAAUACACCUAAUAACUUAUAUCGGAUUGAACACAAUAUUUAAUGUCAUGAUUUCAUUGCAUAUUAGUAAUAUAAUGAUACGAUACUAGGGAUUUCAUCCGUCUUAUUUAUUUCCUUUUAAACUCCUUAGUUGCUUUUGGUAUAUACAUGAAAUUAGGAUUGCUUUUGGUUUAGUUUUUCCCUUUUCAAAAUGUGUGAGGAUUACGACAUGAUUGUAAUACCAUACACGUGUAAGAUGAAUGACAUGUUUGUAGAAUGAUACGUGUAAUAUUGAUCAUACACAUGUAAGCUAAAUAAUAUUAUGAUACACUAGCUAGCCGCAACUAAUGUAAGCUGAAUAAUAUGAUCAUUCACUAUAAUGUCUGAUAUUAAUUCAUAAAAUCUGGUUUUCCCCUAAACGUUACGGAAAUCAUAUUUAUCUAGGCAUGCUUAAUAUUUGAUAAAGAAAAAACAUUUCUUAAAUAAAUGUCCACUCACACUUCCGGCUAGCUCUCCCUUGAGGAGCCUUGUCUACCAAAUAGGUAAGUUCAAGCAACUUCAAGAGAGAGUUUCCUCCACAUUAAGUCUUAAACAUCUACUGGACAGCAGGCAAUUCAAAACCAAAGCUGCUGAAUACAACUAGAAUAAACAAGGAAUCGGGCUAAGCUAUUGUCUUCAUCAUAACAUGAUUUUGGCCCCCAUUUUCUAAUUUCGUUCCACAUUUUCACAUUCUUUCCAUGAAUUUUAUAAUUCCUAUGCAACAGAGUUCAUUCAUUGCCUAUUCACAACAUUACAAGGUUCUACAGAGUUCAAUCCCACACCAUGUUAUAGACAUGCUUCAACUAUCAACCUGGAACGUAAUCGUUAGGGUUUCAACAACUUCAGAGAUACAACAAUUACCAUAAGUCUCAUCUCCGACAUUCAUACAGAAAAUCGAAUACAAUUCGAAAUCAAGAAUUAAUCCCAAAACUGAAAGUUGAAAAUUCGGAAAAAGAACUUACAUUGGAGAACAGCCCACGAGAAGAGGAUCAUUUCUACGUCUUAGGUCGAGGUCCAAUUACUGCGAUAUUGGCCGGAAGUUGGAUGGAAAACCCUGGGUCACCGUUUCUUAAAUUGGAAAUUGCGGAAAACCGCCUACGAAUUUAUAGAAACGAACUUGGGGAUUGGAUACAGGACGGCAAGAGCAUUCAGGAUGUGUAGUUUGACAGCCUUUGGUGACCUGUGGACGACAGAGCUGUUGCGUUGGCAGUCGUCGGCUUGGGCCGCUGUUGCAGCGUGUGAAAGAGAAGAGGGAGCGAGGAGAGACAAUGGGUUUCUCCCACUUUUUGGAUCUUAAUUCUUUUCCACAUUUUUUUAUAUAGAAUAAACCAUAUUAUUUAUCACUAAAAGUGCGUUUGGUAUGUAAGAUGGGACGGAACACGUUUUGAUGAUAAUAAUAGCUAGAAGUAAUAAUGUAAUAUAGUUCAAAUUCGUUUUUGAUAAUAAUCAAAUAUAAAAGAGAAUUGUUAUUAGCAUUCCAAAAAUCUCAUUAUACACUCCUCACAAGUGUAUUUUUCUUUCUAAUUAUAGAAAGUUUGGAGUGCCAAAUAAGAUUUUUAAAUUGCUAAUAACAAUUUCCUAAAUUCUCUCACUUAUAAAUUACAAGUAAAGAAAAAUACUAUUAAAAUUUUUCCACUUUUAAUACACAUCUAAAUAAAAAGAGACAAAAUGAAAAGGAAAAGAAAUAAAAUAAUUUGAAAUAGAAAUAAAAAUUAAGGGUAAAUCUCAUAUUACUACCCUCAUGUUUCAUGGUUUUCAACAUUUAGUACAUCAAGUUUUUUCGUCCCAGAGUCAUACCUAAAGUGUAAAUUUUGGGACAGUCUCAUACAUCCGUUAGUCAAACUGUUAAGUCUCCUGUUAACUGAUGACAUGGCGCCCAUGUGGACAAUAACUGAGUUCCACGUGUCAUUAAGUGGUCCACGUGGUUUUUUUUUUUUUAGAGAAAGAGUUUUAAAAAAAAAUUUCCUGCCCAAAAUUUUUAACCCAUAAUCGUGUACCUUACAUUUUUCCCGCCAAAUUUUUUUGGAAAAAAAAUAAAAUUAAAUAGGGAAAAAACCCCAACUUUCAACUCUAAAUCUACAAAUUCAAUUCCAAAAAAACUUUGAAUUCUAACUCUGCAAAUUCAUCAUUUAAACUACCAACUACCAACAAAGUUCAAUUGUCAACAACUUUCAAUUCAUAACAAAUUUCAAUAUACACCCUCCAAUUCACACGAAAGUAUCAAAAGACCACAACUUUAACAACUAAUGGGUCAAGGUGUUCUUCCAAAAACCAAAAUAAGAGUACCAAAAACACCAAAGAUAUGUCCAAAACACUAAAAUCUGUCAGAAAGUUGUUUCCAAAAAACCUAAGGGCAUAUUCAACUAUAACAAAAUGAACCCUUAAACAACCUAAAGCAUUAAAGCAACAUCAUGGAACAUUCCUCCUCCUUUUCUAACCUCUUGCGGUAGACUUUGAAGUGGUUUGAGAGGCUUGAGUUGGCUGAGAUAAAGGUUGUGGAGCUUUCUGAAUGCAUGUUGGCUGUGAUGACUGAGAGGGUUAUGAUACCUUAGAUGUUGAGGCCCAAGUAAUGAACCCAAAUAGCAUUAGCAUUGACAGAUACUACACUUCACAAAUAACAAAUUCACUUAAGAAAUGAAAAAUCAACAAAAAAAUAUCUAAAUUAUACCUCAUUUUUCUUGCUUUUUCUUCCUUUUCUAGCAGUUGAAGGAGGAUGAGUGGUUAGGCAUCUGGCCUUGUUGUGUCCCGAGUCCUUGCAAACACUACACUUCACACUUUUUUUGCCCUCUCUUGCUUAACUUGAUUCAUUUUCAUCAUCCUCCCUAUUCUCCUCUUUUUUGGUUUCCCAGGUUGCCUUUUAAAAGUUGGAGGAAGAAUGCAUUUGUUUUCAGAUGGCUCCUAAAAUUUCAUGCCUUGGAUGGGUUGAAUCAAGUUUUCGUAAGCUUCAAAGUACUUCUCCUUCUUGUACCAAGAGGAAACAAAUUCCUCAGGUUAUCUCCUUGCAUAAUAGAUGGCCGAGCAACCAUGUAUACAAGGAAAGUCUGUCAAAUCUUAUCUUCUACAUAAGCAAGUGCAACCAUUCAAAUCCACCACAAAUAUAUUGCCUCUGCCUUCAUCCACUUCAAAAUUUUCUCCUAGUGUGUGAGCUUUUCAGUUUGUACUCCUCCAACAUCUUCUGGAUUUUUUGGCAGAUAGCUUCUUUAUCCUUCCACAUUGCAUCUCUUCUUAACCAUAUCCUCUUCAUCAAUAAAACUCUUAUAGUUUCCAACAUGGUAAUAAUAGGCUUGUCCCUAGACCUUAGGAUAAAAGAAUUAAAGCUCUCUCAGAGGUUGUUUAAGAGAAUGUCACACUGAGUGUGUGUCUCAAAGUGUGAUCUACUCCAAUACAAGGCUGGUCUCUUUACCAACCGUUUAUAAGCUUCGACAUUCAACCUAUUCACCUCAGUCAUACUCUCUCUAAAAUCAGUGAUGGUUAUUACGUUGGCAGCAUUCCACAAGGCAUCCUGUAAUCAUUUCCCUUUAAACCCAUCUGCCUUGUAGUUGGUGUAUAAGUGCCUAACACAUAACCGAUGAUUACAAUUAGGAAGCACUUUCUCAAAAGCUGGUAUUAAACCUUUUUGUUUGUUAGAAAUGAAAGUCUAAGCACGCUGAUUCACAAUUCCCAAGUCAGCAGCUAGCAGCUCCAGAAACCAAACUCAACUGUCCUUGUUCUCGAGCUCUACUAUGGCAUAUGCAAUAACCCAAGUUUGGUUAUUUGCAUCUAUUCCCACUGUAGACAGUAACUGGCCCUUGAACACUCCCUUCACGUGACAACCAUCCAACCCUACAAGCUGCCUAUAUCUAUUCUUAAAUCCAUUUUUGCAAGCCCUUAAACAAAUAUAAAUCCUCUGAAAUAUCACAUGAGCAUCAUCAUAGGGCAGCACCUUCAUCUGAACUGUACUACCCGGGUUUGUCCUCCUAAGCUUAUCACAGUACUCCCACAACUUUGUGUAUUGAUCCAUGUUACUCCCCUCAAGGAUUUUCAAACACUGUGCUAUCACUCUGUAUGCUGUCUUAAGGUGGAUCUCAACCAUUCUUGCCUCCUUCAUUGUCUCUAUAAAUGUAGUGAUGGGCAUGCUUGGGUUGAGUCUGAACUUGUCUACAUACCUCUUCACAAGCCAUGCCACUUUGCAGUUAGGAUUUUCCCUCCAAAUCCUCGGACAUUCCUAUUUCCCAACAUAGGUUUUCACUUGCAUUGAAUCUUCAUUGUACAUCCUGGAAGCAUACAAUCUCCAUAUACAGUUUUUCUCACACCUUGCACUAAUAUUCCAUUUCUCAUUCCUUUUUAGCUUAAUAGAAAGUGCACCAUGCUUAAUGGAGUGAGACCACACUGCCUCUCUCAACUGUGUAGCAUCUUUGAACUUCAAUCUCUUUUCAAACUUUGGAUCAUCUUUGUCAGCUUCUUCAUUAAACUCAGGGUAGAUGACAUUCUCAUCACAUUCUGAACCUGAAUCGUCAACACUGUGCAGGCCAUCUAAGUUUUGUCUCUCAUCAUCAAGGAGAACGUCUUCUACAUACCUUGCAUUAAUAACGUCUUAUGGAUGUUGAUUCCCAAUCCCUUCACCCCUUUCAGCAUCUCCAAUAACACUUUCUACAGCCCUAUCAUCUACUGCAAGACGAUCAUCAUCUUCCUCUACAUUUACUACCACAAACAAUGCAUAUUUGUUAAAAACAUAAACUUUGCAAAAAUAAUUGAAUACUAAAGUUAAAAUUGUUAAAAUAAAUGUUUCAAAAUUUUACCUUUAUUAGCUUCUACUUUGGCCCCUUCAUUAACUUAUUCAGCUUCGUGACCUUCUUCCGUUUCAUCACUUUCAUUAUCAGCAUUGAGAUGACCAUCUUCAGCCUCAUCUCCAUUUCCUUGUUCUCCCUCAGUUGCUUCAGCCUCAUGUUCAUCAUCACCAUUGUAUGCUAUGUCAUUCAAAAGACAUAGCCGUUUUUCUAAGUGAUCCGCACCCCUUUUUGCUCUACCCUUCUUCAGUUUUGAUCUACUUCCCUUUGUAAUCGAAAUCGCCACCCUCGAUUCCUCAAUAUCUUCUAUAAUGACACCUUUUUAAUAUGCCACUCUCAUCUAGAUUCAUCAAAAGCUUAUGUUUCAAGGCAGCUUGCUUUGGACUUAGAUGUUCUAGGUACAUUUCUAUUUACCUAGCCCCUGGAACAUACUUGCACAUUUCACCCACAUCUUGGUCCUGUUCAAUAAGCCUUAAUCCCUCCCUAUAAGACAUCCCAAGAAUCCUAUAGUGAUACAACAUAAACCCAUCAUAUCCUAACUCCUUAACCAUUUCAUCAAUCUCGAAAAAAGACAUGAAGUCUUUGUCUACGUAAUCAAACUAAGCCUCAAACCCUCCUGUAUAUGCAUUUUCAGACCACUUCCCACCGUGGUUGAUUUUAAGGCUAAAUAAUUCGGGCAUGCCUGCAAAGUCAAGGAGAAAGGUUAAAAUAUCGUAAAAUUUUAAGGUUUUAAAACCCAAAAAGUUAACCUAAAACACUAGUAGGACCAUGAGGAAAAAUGGUGAAAACAAAACCAUGGGGAUCAUGAAUACAAGGUUUUUUAAAGGUUGCAAUUGGGACCACGAUUGAAGACAAAACCACAUGCAAAUUGAAAACAAUUAACAAUGCAGGAAACCCACUACAAAACACAAUUCCAGAAACCAUAGAAAAAAAGGGAUUGGAACUAACAGAUCCCCCUAAUCCCUAAAAUUCAAAAUUGAAAAAUCGGAAAACCUAAACCCAUAUCAUCUACACUUCGAAAAAAGGUAGGUUACUUACAAUAAACUAGUGUUUCACCCACUUCAAUCCUCCUUUUUUCCCACCCCAUCGCCAGCGAUGGCUUCACGACAACCUUGCCCAGAAACGGUGCCUCUUCUUUGAUGUGCAAAGGUGUGCGCAACGUACGACGGCGUGUGAGGUGGAGUGACGGCGAGGUCGAGUGAUGGGGAGUUUGGUAGGGUUUCGGACGGAGAUUGGGGGUCGCGAUUUAUGGGGGAGUGAAAAGUGGUUUUCACUUUUCACUUUUUCACUUUUACCUAAUCCCCUCUAAAAAAUAAAUAAAAAAUCCACAUGGACCCUUAAUGACAUAUGGUGCCCAAUCAAUGUCCACAUGGGCACCACGUCAUCAGUUAACGGGAGACUUAACAGUUUGACUAACGGAUGUAUGAGACUGUCCCAAAAUUUACACUUUAGGUAUAACUCUGGGAUGAAAAAAACUUGAUGUACUAAAUGUUGAAAACCACGAAACAUGAGGGUAGUAAACUGAGAUUUACCAAAAAAUUAAAGGUAAACUAACAACAUAAGGUAAUCAGCCAUGGUAAUACAAAAUUAUUAUAAAACUUUGUAGGGCUGUGGAAUCUUCAUUUUAGUUCUGAAUUUCGUUCUGCUUGCGCUCACACGUUCAUAUUGAUGAGCAUUACGAGAAAAUAUUACGAUGAUAUGUCAUACGUGAGUUUUCGCUGAAAAUUUUUUUUGAUGGAUUUUGCAAUAUGGCAGCCAUGAUUUGCAGAGCCCACCAUCGUAAGGCAGGCGAAUUGGAGAUAAUAUUAUGCUUUUGAAGGAGUUUCUUAAAAAUUACCAUAGAAAUAAUGGUCCUCCUAGAUGUGCCUUGCAGGUGGACAUUCUGAUAGCUUAUGAUACCUUGUUGGAAAAUGGGGUUACUAGGAUUAGGCUGGUUCAUAGUUCGAUUCCAUUUAAUUGUAAUUGGAAGAAGAAAAAAAAAUUACUAAAAACACUUUCAAACGAAUUCGUACAAAAUUUAUAUGUUACGACUAAUAGUAAGCCUACUAUUGUUCAAAAUCGAUUACCAAUUCUAAUUGUGAUGUUUGUACCGUGAAACAACGUGAUGCCACGAAGAAGAUGGCUCAAGCCAUGUAUUGUCCUUUGAGAAGUUGGGGUUGGGAAGCAUUGCAUCUAAUUUUCUUUCACUUUAUCCUUUUCUUGUUAAAGAGAAUACCAAAUGGUUCGUGAGCAAAGCAUCCAAAUCUUUUUCACUUUUUUCUUGAUAAAGAGAAACACAAAAUGGGUUCGAAAGCAAUACACCACAUUCUCCUUCACUUUGUCUUUUUCUUGUUAAAGGAGGAUGAAAAUACCUUACUUUAGAAUCACCUCCUCUUGAGGUAUUGCUUGUUAGAUAUAUUUUAUUGCUUCUCUAUUUAUAUUGUUAGAAAACUCUUAUUAACCCUUCCCCAUUGAAGUUAUCUGCUCAUAUAUUUGCAUUGUUGAGGUAACAUAAUCUGUCCUCUUUGUGCAUGAUACCAUUCAACAUUCAUAUUUUCUAGCAAAUUCGUGAAGUAUCAAUACCAGUACUAGACACAUGAGUUGUUGCUAAAUAAAGCAUAGAUUUCAGAAUUUCAUUUUUGUUCUGCCGGACAAUUACAUUGAGUUGAUUUACAAUACAGGUACAUAUGUACAUCUUGGAAACUUUAUUUCUUUUCAAUAUUUAUCGUUUUAGGUGUUUCUUUUUACCCCUGUGUGACUAAGAAACUAAAGUGUUGGAUUUACAUUAUAUUUUCUAGCAAAUUCGUGAAGCACCAGGUCUAGUACCAGACAUAUUGUUGUUGAACAAGGCAUAGAUUUCAGAAUUUCAUUUUUUUCUCUGCCGAACAGUUGCAUUGGGUUGAUUUACAAUACAGGUACGUAUGUACUUCUUAGAAACUCCAUUUCUUUUCAAUAUUUAUUGUUUUAGGUGUUUGUACUAUAUGUUAUUGUGUUUUGAUGUUCAACCACGUCAGCUAAUCCACCCUUACAAUCGAAAUUUUUAUUUUUCUCAUCGCAAUACAAAAAGUUUGAAAUCGCUUCCGCUAUAUGGUGGUGAAAUGUACACUAUUUGAAAUUUGCAUAUUGUAAAAUAAUAAGGAGUAAAUAAAUAUACACAUGCACUGAAACCAUCAACUGAAAAUAUGACUUUAUCCCUUAAAAUUCAAUUUUCUUUUACUAAAACUCAUCAUAUUAUAUUUUCCUAACAAAAACUCAAUGACUUUACAUGUAUAUUUUUUUUUGCUUCUCCUGUUUAUAUUGUUAGAAAGCUCUAAUUAACUCUUCGCCAUAGAAGUUAUCUGCUCAUAUAUAUUUGCAUUGAUGUGCAUGAUCUGCCCUCCUUAUGCAUGCUAACAUUCAGCAUUCAAAUUUUCUAGCAAAUUUGUGAAGCACCACUACCAGUACCUGACAUAUGACUUGUUGCUAAACAAGGCAUAGAUUUCAAAAUUUCAAUUUUAAUUUGCCAGACAAUUGAUUGCGUUGAUUUACGAUACAGGUACGUACGUACUUUUCGAAACUCUAUUUCUUUCCAUUAUUUGUUGUUUUAGACGUUUGUUUUUACCCUGCCUGACCAAGAAACAAAAGUGUUAAUUUAACAUUCUAGUACCCGCCAAAUAUUGUAUUUCGGCUGAGCUCCAACACUAUGACUAGGCGCCAACUCAACAAUUUUAUUGAUUAGCUUUGACUUCACAUAGUUUUGUAUUUUUAGAUGUCUAAAAUACCCCUAGUAACUUAUGUCAAAUUAAAAACAAAUUUUAAAAUCAUGAUUUCAUUGCAUAUUAAUAAUAAUAGGAUAUGAUGCUAGGGUUUUCAUUUGUUUUAUUUUUUUCCCCUUUAAAUUCCUUAGUUGCUUUUCAAAUUUGCAUAAAUUAGGAUUUUUUUUUUGGUUUAGUUUUUCCGUUUUCAAAAUAUGUGAGCAUUAGUUACCAACAAAAUAUAAGAAUGUUAUUUUUUUUCCAAAAUUAUUUAAUUAUAUUCUAUAUAAAUAUAGGUAAAUUAUUUCUCUACACAUAUAUAAUAACAAUAAAAUGUGGUUAAUGUAUGUAAUAAUACAUGCAAAAUAAUUUACCUUCAACAUAAAGGAUGUGAUUUGGUUCAAGAUUUAUUUUACCUAUAUUUCACAUAUAGGUAUAGGUAAAUUAUGAAAGAUUCAUUUUUUUUUUAAUUUUUUUUUAUUUUUAUUUUUGUCUUUUGGCUUAACAUAUAUAGAUAAGUAAAUCAUUUUUUGUCAUUUGGUUUGAUAUAAAGGAUGUCAUGUGUCAUUUGGUUCAAAAAAAUAUAAGUAAAUUAUUUUAUGAAGAUUAUCAUUAUAUAAUAAUAAUAAAAAGGAGAAUAUAUAUAUAUAUAUAUAUAUAUAUAUAUAUAUAUAUUGUUUCAAUUAUGUAAAUAGUUUGUAAUAUGAGGUUAUUUCUUUGUCUACAUGUCAAUGGAUUUAGAUUCCGUUUACAAGAGUUAAUACCAAACAUACAAUUUCAGUUGCCCUUGGACAGAAGCCACUAAAUGAGUAAAGGACAACGGGACGAAACAACCUUCUACCUGGCCUAUGUACCUUGCCACUUUCAAUAAAAACAGGUGUGUUUCAAUUUGAUAUUUAAAUAUAUGUGGAUUUUGGGCUGCCCAUUGUGUGACUUUACCGAACUCCCCCUCCCAUUAAUGUAAAAAUAUCGAUGUACUAAAAAAUAUAUAUGUGGAUUUUUGUUUAAAAAGUAAAAUUACAAAGGUCUAUUUCUAAAGAACCCUAUGUAUCAACAACAAUUUCAACUAAUUCAAGUCCAGCAGCACAAUAAACUCAAAUAAAAAUUCAAUUAUUUUAAACACAGUGAUGAUCUUAUAUUCAAAGAUAAUUUUGAUCUAGGUGCUUGAUUUUUGAAUUUGAUAGACCCAACAUCCCUAGCUUUUAGACUUUUUAUUAAACUACUUUCUACAAUUUUGGUGCCACGAUUUUUAAAACGUCCUCUUUCUAAAAUUCAAAAUAACAUGAACUGUCAUUAAUCCACCAAUUUAUUCCAGAAACAAUAUCCAAAGCUCCUAAAUCUAGCCUUCUUUAAACCAAAAUUAUUAUUAUUACUCCAACAUAAAAAUACAUAAUUAUUAAGUUAUCAAUCAAUGAUAUGUACCAAAAAUUAAAAUUAUACAUACCAAAAACUAAAAUGAAACGUACCAUUAACUAAAAUAAAACAUACCAAAUACUAAAACUAAACAUACCAAUCAAUGAUAUGUGCACAACUGAACAUACCAAAAAACAAAAUUAAGUAUGAAAACCAAUAAUAAACGUACCAAUAAUGUAUACAAAAUAAUUCUCUUAAUAAAAUGUAUAUAUAACAAUUUAAAAAAUAUAAACAUCCACCAUUUUCGUUAUCUUGAACGUAAAAUUAUAUUUUAAUUUUAGGAGAAAAAAUAUUUUGUACGAAAAAAUUAUUAAAAAGAGAAUUGGAUAAAUAUAUUGAAUGAAAAACCAAGAUUAUCUCCAAAAAAAAUCGCUUAACUAAUUAAAGGACAAAUUAAGAAACCAAUAUACAGUGAGGUAUAUGGUAAUGGCAUGAGGAUGAAUGAAAAAACAACGGAAUAAAAAAAAAUAAAAAAAAAUUAAAACUAAAAAAUGGCCACGAUAUAUUCCGUUAUCAUAUUGUGAAAUCUUACAAUAUUGGGGACAUCGUGAUAUUAUAUGAUAUCUCGCAAAACAGUUUUCGUGAUGUGAUACUAGCUAAUUGUAAUACUUUUGUAAUAAUAUAGUACUAAAAACUGAAGUAAACAUACAUGUAAUAGUUCAUUUGUCACACAAGUCUAUACUUGUCAUGGAUAUUUUUUGAUAGAUCUUUGUGACUCAUUUCGAACUAAUACUAACUAAUUGUUAGUCAAGUGAGAAAUUUUCUAAUUAGAGAAAAAGGGCCUAAAUUUGAAUCGUAACUCCAGCUUUGAUAAAAUAAAAAUAAAAAUAAAUACCACUUAGAUUUAAACAGGACAAAAAUAUCUAAUAUUGUGUUGGGGUAGUGCUUCUUUGGUUUUAGGUAGUAGAGCACUGAGCACGAGACUUAAAAAAGCUACCAACAAAGAGGAGCAUUCAAGCCAUGGUCUUUGAUUUCAGAAGGAAAUGGAAAUUAUAAUUGCAAUUGCCUCAAAAAUUGGAGAGUCAUUGGUCGCACCAAUAGGAACAGAGUCUGCCUAUUUGAUUAAUUACCAUUCCAACCUAGAAAAUCUUAAGCGUGAGAUAAAAAAGCUCUGUGACAAGAAAAAUGGAGUGCAGGGAUGGGUAAAUGCUGCCAAAAGGAACGGUAAAUUUAUCCACCCUGAUAUUCAGAGUUGGCUAAAGAAUGUGGACGAAAUGAUCCAAAAAGUGUCGCAUUUUGAGGUUGAGAUUAACAGGAAAAGGCGAUGUAUGUAUCGAUGGAGCUUGAGUCGGAAAGCCUAUAAGAUUACACAACAUGUUCUCCAGCUCCAAAACGAAGGAACAUUUGAAAAUGUGGCCCAUGCUGCUCCUUCACGAGAGAUAUGGUCAACAUUCAAAGACGGAUUUAAACAUUUCAAGUCCAGAAUGGAAAACAUGAAUGAGGUGAUAGAGGGUUUGAAGAGGGAAUAAGUAAGAAUGAUCGGGAUUUGUGGAAUGGGGGGUGUGGGUAAAACCACACUGGCGAAAGAAAUCAUCAAAAGAUUAGCAGAACUGAACAUGUUUGAUAAAACUGUAAUGGCAACUGUGUCUCAAAGCCCAAGUAUUAAGACGAUCCAGUUGGACAUUGCAGCACAAAUAGAUUUGAAAUUUGAUAAGGAUUCUAAGUCCGGAAGAGCACUAAAGCUGCAUGACAGACUCAUGGAAAUAAGGAGGAUCCUGAUUGUGUUAGAUGAUGUAUGGACAGAGCUUAAUUUUGAGGCUAUAGGACUUCCUUAUGCACAUACUCAUAAAGGGUGCAAAAUUUUGUUGACAUCACGGAAUUUGGAAGUCUGCGAUGCGAUGGAAAGUCAACAAAUUAUUGCGGUCCCAACUUUAACAACAGAAGAAUCACGGGAGCUCUUUAGAGAAAUCGUAGGUGAAUCCUUCGAUGAUCCAGAUUUCCAUUCCAUUGCAGAAGAGGUCGUGAAUGAAUGUGGAGGUUUACCUAUUGCUAUUGUAACUGUUGGAAAAGCCCUAGAAAAGAAAAAGAAGCACGAAUGGGUUAAUGCCCUUAAUCAGCUGCGAAAGUCUAUCCCAAAGAACAUCCCUGGACUAGACGACAAAGUUUAUUCAAGCAUAAAAUGGAGUUAUGAUGGAUUGGAGAGUGAUGAAGCCAAGCCAUGUCUUUUACUUUGUUGUUUAUUUCCAGAAGAUUAUAACAUUCCAAUUGAGGAUUUGGUUCGAUAUGGGUGGGGUCGAGGAUAUUUUAGCAGCAGCGAUACUUUGGAAGAAGCAAGAAAUAAAGUGCAUUCUUUGGUUGACCAACUACAAAGAAGGUUUUUGUUACUAGAUGGUGGCAGGAGUGAGACAAUAAAAAUGCAUGACAUAGUUCGCGAUGUUGCCAUAUCAAUUGCUUCAAGAGAUCCACAUGGAUUUCUGAUAAGAAGUAAUGCUGAAAAUAAAGGGUGGCCAAAUUUAGCUACAUAUGACCAUUGCACUACAAUCUCACUUGUUGGUAAAUUGGAGAUUCCAGUUGGUUUGAAAUGCCCAAAACUUGAGUUUCUACAGACGAUGAAAGGACGUUUUUCAGAAGGUAGCAUGGACAUCAUUUGUGAUGCGAUGAAAGAACUGAAGGUUUUAGCUUUGGUGGAAAUGGAAGACCUAGGCUCAUCAAGAUCACUAGGAUUACUGAAGAACCUGCGGACCUUGUGCCUAGAUGGGUCUAAAUUUGAUGGCACGUCUGCUGAUGUUAUUGGGAGUUUGGAGAAUUUAGAAAUCCUCAGCUUUCGGGAUUGUGAUUCCAUGCGUGAGUUGCCGAGGGAAAUUGGACGACUUAAACAGUUGAGGUUGUUAGAUACGACAAACUGCGAGGAACUUGAGGUGAUUCCACAUGGUAUCUUCUCCAGCUUAUGUAGACUUGAAGAGUUGUAUAUGGUUAAUAGCUUUAACGAAUGGGAAAUUGGAAGAGGAAGAGAAGAAAAGGGGAUGGCAAGCAUUUCUGAGGUGAUGUCUCUGUCCGAUCAUUUGAAGGUUCUAGCCAUAGAGAUACCCAGUGUCAUCCACUUGUUGACAAAAGACAUAGUCUUGAAAAGCCCAACAAUAAGAUUCCUUAUACGCUGUGCAACAUGGGUAGGGCAUUUUUCGGAGAUGAGUACUUAUGCAUUCGAAAAUUGUUUGGAGAUUAGUGAAAGUGAUGCAAGGGAGUUGGAGGAGAGUCAAGCAGUCAGACUUUUGUUGAAAAAAUCUAAAAAAUUGUAUUUGUCGGAGGUUAAGAAUUUCUCUGUCCUCACUGAUUUAGACCAAGAAGGAUUUCAAGAUUUGAAAGAUUUGGAUCUUUGGUAUUGUCCACAUAUCGAGUAUCUUGCAAAUGGAACAAGUGGGUUUUUGACCAACCUAAGAUUCCUUAAAUUGGGAAGUUGUGGUGUCUUAAAAUAUGUAUUUUCACUAUCAGCAGCGAGAAACUUGGUACAACUCCAAGAAUUAAACAUUGAUGGAUGUGAUCAAAUGGAAGAAAUUGUAUCGAAGCAGGGGAGGGAACAUGAGGAGGAAGCCGAUAUGAUACCUUUCCAUAAAUUAACCAAUUUGACUCUCGAGGGUCUAGGGAGUUUGGUUGGUUUCUUCCAAGCCAAGAAGCUAUACUCCAACCAAGAGGUAUGUCCCACUCUCCAAUCUCUAUGAUAUGAGGAGGCAGCCGAUAUGUGGAAAUUUGAAAUUGUGUUAACUGAUAAUGAUUUUUCUUUUUCAGGAAACAACGGCAAGGGUUGAGCAUCAAUCUGCAGGCAUAUUUGAAAAAGCAAUAUUCCCAUCAACGUGCAUUUCAUGGUUUCCAAGUUUAGAAAAGGUGAGAUUGGGAUUUAUGGAGUUUGAAGGCGUGCUAUUUGAUCUUAAAAUCCAUGUUAUGGAUGGGCAGGCAGCUCCAACUUUUCCCCAGUUACGUGGGUUGGAGAUAAUUUUUUGUUCGUUUACACAUUUGUGGAAAAACAUUCGGUCUGGAUUUCAGGAUUUCCGAAAUUUGAGAUGUUUGGAUAUAAGAGAAUGUUGUGGGCUAAAAUAUGUGUUCUCGCAUUUAAUUGCCCGAGAACUUUUGAAUCUUGAAGAGGUAAAGAUAGCAAAAUGUCCGAACAUGGAAACUAUAGUCAGAAUCACAGAGCAAAAUGAAGAAGAGGCGACAAAAUACAUGAUUUUGUUUCCGAAACUGAACACAUUUGAACUAGAAGACCUGCCUCGUCUCACAAGUCUUUGUCCAGAGGGAUUUACAUUUCUAUGGUCAUCCACAAAAAAAAUGCACGUGAAAAGAUGUGAAAAUUUGAAGACAUUGGGUGCUGUAAUUCCACAAAGAAAGAAGUUGGAGAAUAACUUGAAGAAGGAUUCAACAAGUCAUGAUUUUAGCACUUCUCCAACACGUUCAUCAAAUUGGUGCCCUGCUGGAUGUGGAUGCGCACCGUAUUCAAGACCAAACGCCCACCGCCCCAUUGAAAUAUUGCCACGUCCAAUUAACCUGGAGGUAAGCUUUUAAAUCAGGUUCAAUUAACCUCUAUAAGUACAACUUUUAAUCAGUAUUGUAUCAUCUUGUUGAUCGUGCUUAAUUUUCUAGGUUACACCAACUAAUCUUGAGGACUCAAAUGAUGAUGAUAAUCUCGAAAAUCUUACUGUAAGUGACUGUAAUUCGAUGGAAGUGAUUUUCCAACUCAAGGGACCGAAGCAUGAAGAAAGUAGUCACUCCAUUGAAGCAUUCAAUAAAUUGAGUUCCUUGCGGUUAGAUAGAUUGCCAGGUUUAACGCGUGUUUGGGAGACGGGUAGUUCACAACCGAUGUUGACAGGAAGCAGCUUCGGAAACUUGAAAUCGCUGGAGGUUGGUUUUUGCAACCAGUUGAAAUACUUGUUUUCAUCGUCCAUAGUCAAACUUCUCGUGAGUAUAGAGGACAUAGAAGUUCAUAACUGUGAGAAGAUGGAAGAAAUCGUUGCCGCAGAAGAAGAAACUGAUGAAACAAUUACAUUACCUAAAGUGAAGUCCAUCAAGCUUGAAAGUCUGCCAAAACUCAAGUAUUUUUGUGGUGAAGCUUAUACUUUGAAGUUGCCGUCUUUGGAGUUAUUGGAGUUUGAUGACGUGCAAAACUUAAGCCUAUUAGCUCCAAAGCUUAUUGCCACACAUCCCCGAUUGCAAGUACGCACCGCGUUGGGAGUGGCUGAAUGGAAGGGGGACCUCAAUGCCACUCUAAGGAAUAUUUACGUCACAAGGUAUGCUUUAAUAUAAGGUUUUUAAUUUCCAAUCAUUUAUGGCAAACACCACAAAAAAUUCGACAACAAAUUUAGGCAAAGCAUAAUCAACAGUUCAGAUUUAGUUUGACGAAAGUGUAAUCAAAAUUUAGUCAAAAACCAUAUACACACACACACACACACAUAUAUGUAUAUAUGUAUAUAUGUAUGUGCGUAUGUGCACACUAGAGUGUAUUUAGAUAUGUUUUUCUUCUUUUGAAAACUCAAUUAUAUCUCAAGAAAACUUCUGUCUUUUAUUUCUAACACAGGAAGGGUGAAGAUGAUGAAAUCGACAGGGAGGACGAACACAAUUAAUUGAUCAAGCACAAAGGUUAACAUGUCUCCAUCUUCAACUUCUUCUAGGCUUAGAAACUGCUAUUUUCGGAAACACAUAUACAAUAAGCAUAACCGUUUCAACUUAUUUGAGUUUCAGUGAUUUCUAAUAUUCUCCAAUGCAUGCAGGACAACAAUUCAAAGAAGGUUGUGGCUUCAACAAUUCGUUUACCAUCUCAUAUGUACAAACCAAUAAAAUGUCAUUUGUUGCAUCAGACUUUCAUUCCAAAAUACUAUUUAUGUUGCUUAUUUUAUGCAUGUAUAAUAAAUUUCGAGUGUGAUUGUUACUGUUUGUAUCUAAGUUCGCAUUAUUAAUGUAUGUUUAUUUGCACCAAGAAAUGAGAAAUGCUUAUGUAAAAAUAAAUGAAUAAGAUUAAACAAGAAAAACUUUACGCUACUCAAACUUGCAAACACUCAAACUACAAGCAUUAUGAAUAAACACGGAAUCAGGCUACGCAAUUGCCUUCAUCAUAACAUGAUUUUGGCCCCCAUUUUAUAAUUUCCUACCACAUUUUCACAUUCUUUCCAUGAAUUUUAUAAUACAUAUGCAAAAGAGUUCAAUCUAGGGGCUCCAAAAAUAUCACAGACAGAACAAUUAACACAAAUCGAAUAAAAAUUUGAAAUCAUGAAUCGAUCCCAAAACUGAAAGUUGAAAUUUUUGAAAAGAACUUACAUCGGAGGACAGCCCACCGGGACAGGAUCAUUUAUACCUCUUGGGUCGAGAAUAUUGGCCGGAAAACCGCGGUCACCGUUUCUUUGAUCUGAAAUUGAGGAAAUUUGGCUACGAAUCUGUAGAAACUAACUUGGGAGUUGGAAAGAGGACGGAAAGAGGAGUCUGGAUAUGUAAUUUGACGGCCGUUGGUGACCGGUGGACGAAAAUAAACUUCAUGCGAAAACAAGACCAGAUUGAGGUAAGAAAGAAAAAUACAUACGCAGAAAUAACAUGUCAGUCAGGCAAGACAAGUAAUUGCAACCAUAACAGAACACAAUGAAGAAACAUACCAUGAGGAUUUUGAACAAACAUAAUGAAGUGUAACCAACAGCAUACAAAUAUCAAAAAUAUAGAAAAGAAUGCUAUACAAUCACUAUAAGUGAUUUCAAAGGCCAUCUUCUAUUUCUGUUUCUGGGAAAAAGUCAUGUCGUCAAGAUAUCAUUCCAUUUCCUUACCAUGAUGAGUAAAAUGAAAUUUGAACUUGCUUGCUGUUCUUGCAUAUCUUCUCCUCAUCCUGGUUACCAACCCAGCAAGUCUUCACCAAUCCAUCUAUGAUGUACGUACGUCAUUGUAAUAUCAUGUGAUGCAGCUUACCUAGAUUAUAUUUCCUGUAGCCUAAGUUUAGAUAUUUCCUUUGCAGAGGGUAUAGCGUGCAAGGUCCUAAGAACUUUACCAAAUUAUCAUCCUUCGAGUAUAGAAAAUCUUCCAAAUGUAUAAACGAAAUAAACUUGUGACAGAACCAAAGAAUGCAAAUGCUUAUCAUCAUUUACUAAUCCAUAUGCAUAAUUUAAACAUUUUCAUAUUCAUUAGAAGCAUACAGAAAAGAUACAUGGCACACAAGAUAUGUACUUUUCGACGUAGGAGCUCAAUUCUUGUAUACAGACACACUUCCUUUAGCUUGCAUUGGACCUCGUACUUUCCACUAAUGUAAAUGCCACAUCAAAAGUGAAAGAGCGACUCCGGAAACCAAUUACAUCCAUGUGCUUGCACUUCAAUGCAGAAACAGAACAAAACAUAAUCCUAAAGUUUUCGGACCAUCAUUAAACACGCAAGCAUAACAAACAUUCACAAUCCAGCAAAUGGGUGUUCAUAAUUUCAAGCAGAAACACCAAAAGUCAAAGAAAAUAAUGAAUUAAAUUAUGAAAAAUUUUGUACUCAAGUAUCUCCCGUGAACUUGAACCAAGUCUCAGCACAUUGCUUAUAAGCAGCACCCAAAUCCCCCUUGCAAGAACACCCCAAGUCAAUCGGGACCCCAGAGGCAGGGUCGGUCCCACCACCUCCCUCCAAACCCAAGUGGCAAAUCCUGCAAUUUCUCUCAACUUUACUCAAAUGCACCACCUUCUUCACCUUCGAAACCCCACUCUCUCCACUGAACAGCAUUGGAUGUCGUCAGAGUCAUCCGAGUCCGACGCACCGCUGCCUCCGGUGGCCAAACGGCGGUGGUGGGUUGUCUCGGGAGCUGACAUUCGUGAAACCCAGAAAGAGAAAUGGCGUGAAAUGGUAAAGUGUUAAAGUUGCGGCAUUCGGAGAUCAAACAUGGUGGGGUUAUAGAGCAGGUGGAGAUGUUUUUUCUCUAUCCUCAAUCAAAAUAUCAAUCUGCAGGCAUAUUUGAAAAAGCAAUAUUUCCAUCAAAGUGCAUUUCAUGGUUUCCAAGUUUAAAAGAUGUACGUUUGGAAUUUAUGAAGUUUGAAGGCGUGCUAUUUGAUCUGAAAACCCAUGGCCAGACAACUCCAAUAUUUCCCCAGUUACGUGAGUUGCGGAUAUUCGAUACUUCGUUUACACACUUGUGGAAAAACAUUCCGUCUGGAUUUCAAGGCUUCCAAAAUUUGAGAUAUUUGCACAUAAGUUAUUGUUCUGGUCUAGAAUAUGUGUUCUCGCAUUUAAUUGCCCGAGAACUUUUGAAUCUUGAAGAGGUAGAGAUAUCAACAUGUCUGGACAUGGAAACUAUAGUCAGAAUCACAAAGGAAAAAGAAGAAAAGGCGACAAAAGACAUGAUUUUGUUUCCGAAACUGAACACAUUUGAACUAGAAGACCUGCCUCGUCUCACAAGUCUUUUUCCAGAGGGAUCUACAUUUGUAUGGUCAUCCACAAAAUAUAUGCUGGAGAAUAACUUGAAGAAGGAUUCAACAAGUCAUGAUUUCAGCACUUCUCCAACAUGUUCAUCAAAUUGGUGCCCUGCUGGAUGUGGAUGCGCACCAUAUUCAAGACCAAACGCCCACCGCCCCAUUGAAAUAUUGCCACGUCCAAUUAACCUGGAGGUAAGCUUUUAAAUCAGGUUCAAUUAACCUCUAUAAGUACAACUUUUAAUUAGUAUUGUAUCAUCUUGUUGAUCGUGUAAUUUUCUAGGUUACACCAACUAAUCUUGAGGACUCAAAUGAUGAUGAUAAUCUCGAAAAUCUUACUGUAAAUGACUGUAAUUCGAUGGAAGUGAUUUUCCAACUCAAGGGACCGAAGCAGGAAGAAAGUAGUCACUCCAUUGAAGCAUUCAAUAAAUUGAGUUCCUUGCGGUUAGAUAGAUUGCCAGGUUUAACGCGUGUUUGGGAGAUGGGUAGUUCACAACCGAUGUUGACAGGAAGCAGCUUCGGAAACUUGAAAUCGCUGGAGGUUGGUUUUUGCAACCAGUUGAAAUACUUGUUUUCAUCGUCCAUAGUCAAACUUCUCGUGAGUAUAGAGGACAUAGAAGUUCAUAACUGUGAGAAGAUGGAAGAAAUCGUUGCCGCAGAAGAAGAAACUGAUGAAACAAUUACAUUACCUAAAGUGAAGUCCAUCAAGCUUGAAAGUCUGCCAAAACUCAAGUAUUUUUGUGGUGAAGCUUAUACUUUGAAGUUGCCGUCUUUGGAGUUAUUGGAGGUUAUUAAUGUGCAAGACUUAAGGCCAUUUGAUUCUAAGCUUGUUGACACGCAUAAUCCCCGAUUGCAAGUAAAACCCACAUUUCGACAGGAAUGGACAAGGUAUGCUUUAGAUUAAUGUUUCUAAUUUGCAUUCACUUUUGUGUCCACCUGAAAGACCGCAUCAUCAAUAUACAACCACUGAACCAACAAAGAUGACGAAAUCGACGGCAAGGAUGACGAUGACAAAAUCGAUGGCAAGGAUGAAGAUGACGAAACCAACAGGGAGGACGAACACAAUUGAUUGAUCAAGCACAAAGGUUAGAAUGCUUCCAUCUCCAACUUCUUCUAGGUUUAGUAAAAACUGAUGAAAAUUAUCUAUAUAGUACUCACAAAAAUAUUCUACCAUGUUUUAUAUAAUAUAUACAUACAUGUAUAGCACUUAAAAAAAUUGAACAGUUUGGAUCUAAAACCACAAUCUGCUACCUGUUUCAUUUUUUCGAGGUACCUAAUAGCAAUUAAGGUGAGAGGAAGAAGCAUUUCAGAUUACCAACUGCCUCAAGAGAAACCUUUAUCAGAAACACAUAUACAAUAAACAUAACCGUAGUGCUAAGUGGCCUAAAAAUUAAUUUAUCCUUAAACCGCUAUUUUUGGAAACACAUAUACAAUAAGCACAAGCGUUUCAACUUAUUCCAAUUUCAGUGAUUUCUAAUAUUCUCCAAUGCAUGCAGGAAAAGAGUUUAAAGAACGUUGUGGCUCCAGCAAUUCGUUUACCAUAUCAUAUGUACAAACCAAUAAAAGGACAUUUGUUGCACCAGAAUUUCAUUCCAAAAAUACUAUUUAUGUUGCUUAUUUUAUGUACCAUAAAUUUCGAUUGCGAUUAUUACUGUUUGUUUCUAAAUUCGCAUCAUUAGUGUUUGCUUAUUUGUGCUCGAGGUUGAUUAUACACGUGUAAGCUGAAUCACAUGUUUGUAGAAUGGACAAGCUGAAUAAAAUCUGUUUGCCCCCUAAAUGUAAUGGAAAUCAUAUGUAUCUAGGCAUGCUUAAUAUUUGAUAAAGAAAAACAUUUCUCAAAUAAAUGUCCACUCACACCUCCGGCAAGCUCUCCCUUGAGGAGCCUUGUCUACCAAAUAGGUAAACAUCUACUGGACAGCAAACUGCUGAAUACAACUAGAGUAAACAAGGAAUCAGGCUAUGCAAUUGCCAUCAUCAUAACAUGAUUUUGGCCCCCAUUUUCUAAUUUCCUACCACAUUUUCACAAUCUUUCCAUGAAUUUUAUAAUUCCUAUGCAACAGAGUUCGUUCAUCGCCUAUUCACAACAAUACAAGGUUCUACAGAGUUCAAUCCCACACCAUGUUAUAGACAUGCUUCAACUAUCAACCGGGAACGUAAUCGUUAGGGGUUUCAACAACUUCACUGAUACAACAAUUACUAUAAGUCUCAUCUCCGACAUUCAUACAGAAAAUCGAAUAAAAUUCGAAAUCAAGAAUCAAUCCCAAAACUGCAAGUUGAAAAUUUGGAAAAAGAACUUACAUUGGAGAACAGCCCACGAGAAGAGUAUCAUUUCUACCUCUUGGGUCGAGCUCCAAUUCCGGCGAUAUUGGCCGAAAACCCCUGGGUCACCGUUUCUUAGAUUUGAAGUUGAGGAAAAUCGCCUACGAAUUUAUAGAAACUAACUUGGGGGAUAGGAUAAGGGACGGCAAGAGCAUUCUGGAUGUGUAGUAUGAGAGCCUUUGGUGACCAGUGGACGACAGAGCUGUUGCGUCGGCACUCGGCAGUCUUCGGCUUGCUGUUAAAUGGGGCUCCUGUUGCAGCGCAACGCAAAAGAGAAGGAGGAGAGAGGAUACGGGAGAAGGAGAGAAAAUGGGUUUCUCCAACCUUUUUCAUUAGUUCUUUUCCACAUUUAUUUAUGGAAUAAACGAUAAUAUUUAUCAUCAAAAGUGUGUUUGGUACGUGAGAUGAGAAGGAACAUGUUUUGAUGAUAAUAAUGGCUAAAACUAAUAUAGUUCAAAUUUUUUUUAGUGAUAAUUGAAUAUAAGAUUUCUCUUACAAGUUACAAAUAAAAAUGAAUAUCAUUAAUUUUUUUUCACUUUUAAUACACAUGUAAAUAAAAAGAAACAAAAUGAAAAUGAAAAGAAAUAAAAUAAUUUGAAAUAGAAAUGAAAAAUAAAGGUAAAUUGACAGCAUAAGGUAAUCAGCCAUGGUAAUACAAAAUUAUUAUACUAUCCUUAAACAUUGUAGUGCCAUGGAAUCUUCAUUUUAGCUCUGAAUUUCCUUCUGCUUACGCUCACGCGUUCAUAUUGAUGAGCACUACGAAAAAAUAUUAAGAUGAUAGGUCAUACUCAUACGUUCGUUUUUGUUGAGAAUUUUUUUGAAGGAUUUUGCAAUAUGGCAACCAUGAUUUGCAAAGCCCACCAUCGUAGAGCUCGAUAUCGGCUUGACUUGUGGAGCCACCAUCGCAAAGAAGAACCUGGAAAGCUCAAUCCUUGUCUUUUUCUUAUAUAAGUGUCAUUUUGGUGAACCAAAUGUUCCGAUUCCAACAUCCAAAAUACCACAAUGUGAUUUUUUUUCAUACUACAAUUGGAUUGCAUCUUAAAAUUAUGAAGUCUUGGAGCAUUGGUCAUGCCAUCAUGCUGAUUUGUGUUGGAUUUCGUUAGAGAUCGUAAUUAAUCAAUCACCCUUUUUGUGUCUCCCUUCAAAAGCUCAAAUUGAAAUCUGAACUCCCUAGCAAAUAAGAGCCCAAUUUGACAACCAAAAUCUUCAUCGUUCGAGCAUCAAUGUUCUCUUAAAUUCACUACGAGCAAACCGCCAUGAAAUCUCCUUCAUGGACAUCUCAUAAAAUUAGAACGAUACAAAGAAGAUUAGUGUGACUCCUAAGCUAGGAUUACACGUAUGAAUCGUAAAAUAGUUCCUCCUCCACUAUUUGAUUCUCUCUUUCACUGGCUAACAAUAUUUUGCUCUACCUUUUCACCCUAAGUAAGAAAUGAGCAUUUUGUUAGCAUCUUUUUGAAAAUUUCAAAUUUGAUCCUAAUAUAUCUCUUUUGCACUAUUUGACUGAACGACAAAUUUUGAUUGUCUAAAUAUUUAUAUCAAAAUACAAAUAAUAUUGAUAUUAUAUAUUUAUAAUGUGACUGGAAUUGUAGUACCCAACAUAUCUAUCUUGAAAUAAAUUUUGUUGUCUAUGAAGUGGCCAACUCGACCCUCUCCUAUACUCUUUGAGUUUGUAUAAAUAUAUCAUUGUUUAACAAUUGACAUUCAGUACUGCGAUUUAGUGAUAUUCAUUAUCAGGUUCGAAUCUUAGGAGUAACGAGUUUGUGUAAAUAUAUCAUUGUAUUAAAGAAAAACAAAAAAAUAAAAAAUAAAACAAAAUAUUUUUUUUUGGUCUGACAAAAACACGAAAAUGCCCUUAAUGCCCAAAGUGACCCCACUACUGACACACCCCGAUCCAGAGGAUCCAGGCGUGCUGGCCGUCACGUGAGCGUGACGUAACCAUAAGUGCGACACGGAAGCGAAACAACAACAUACAUAAGAAGGAAUUCAAACCAAACUCUAGCAGAACAACCUACUAGAAUAACAGGACGAGUUAUAAUGUAAACACAUAAAUUCAGAGCAUAGGUUUAAGUGCAGUCAAGUAGGACUAAAAUAAAAGUACAUCGCUCUCAGGUGAGUCCUACAUGUCAAGAGUUUGUCAGAAAGCCGAAAUAAGACCUCGAGAGUCACAAACUGCUAACUAGAACCUGGAGGGGCGCAAAACAAAAUGAGUGGGUCAGUAAAACCAAAGAGUUUUCCAAAACAGUUCAUUUAAAACAUUUCUAACCCCUCACCGUAAAAACCUGUAUACUUCCCCAGAAAAUAGUAUAUAAACAUAUAUAUAUAUAUACACGCAACAUCAAAACUCAACUCAUAUCCAUCAUUACAACAUCUCAGAAAUGAUAUGCCAUGCACAAAAUAUAAUCAGAAUGCAUCAAUAUCAAUCAGGUGAAAUAAUACAUCAACCGGAGAUCCUACAAUGGUCAUGUACGGCUGAUUCUAAAGCUCAACAUCUAAUCCAACCGGAGUCACCUCGGUGACCUGUACGGUCCAACUCUGCACGUCACUCGGAACUACAUAUAGUAGUCUGUACGAUGACAGGUGUAUAAAUACGCUCUAGUGCUUCUCUCAUCAAUCAACAGCGCGCAUAACUAAGGUCACCCACUAGUCGGAAUCACAUCUAGUGAUAUGUACGACUAGCAUGUCAGAACCCUCACAUGGUCUGUACGACAUCCACCUACUUGGAUCCAAGACGAGCGUGCGGUGUGGUGAAUAACAAUAUAAGCACUAACACCUAGGUGCAACUUAUGAGCUUUCAAUGCAAUUCAUAUAAAAUAACUCAGCUGAAUAAUAAUAAAACUCACAUGUGCGUCCACCGCGUCAAUUCACAUAUAUAUGCAUCAAUUAUCAAACUAAAUAUCUCAACAAUUGCAUGCAUGGCAAAUAAAUUCAUAAUUUUCACAUAAACGUAUUUUCUGGGAAAAACAGUUGUAUAUAGGUAAUACGAAAUCAGAACUGCCCACUCACUGAUAAGUCGAUGGAUCGUAACCCCCGUGACGUCCUUGGAUGCACUCGUCCUCGGGAUAGGUGUCACCUAUAUGCGAAACAACUAUAAAAACGUUAAUUUUAAACACAUAACCAUUAAUUCGAAAUAACUUCUCAUACGAUGCUCAAUUUGGGUAUAUGAAUAUACCACAUCGACCUACUCGACGUCACGGACGUCGAGGAAUUUUUAGAAAAAAUUUUAGGCUUGCCACGCGCCCCCACGCGCCGUGGGUGGCACAGGUCCACGCGCCCCCACGCGCAUCAUCUUCAACCUCAGCUCGCCGGACUGGUUUUUCCGGCGGUCGGUUUCUGGCGAACUUUGAAACUCUUUGUUCUCCUUCGUUUCUCAACCAUUUUCUUCGUAUUUUAUACCAAAAUGAAGCCCCAAACAUGUAGAAUCACGAUAGACUAGUUUAAGGCUCUAAAAAUCAAGAAAUCUCACCAGAAAAUUUCCAAGAAAAUCGGCCAAAGUUGAACCACGUGAUCCUGACGUCCAAAUCCUUCAAACGAAGUACUCCGAGCCUCCUUGGGACCUUACUAAGCUCACUACAAGCUUAGAAUUCCCUAAAAAUAAACAUUUUACGUUUGCAUGAAUAGUGACCAAAAAUGAAGGUUCGGGUUUCACGUGAUUCCGAGGAUUUCACUUCCUAAAACUAGUACCAAUCAACUUAAAAUGACUCAAGGAUGAAGAUGCAUACCUUGGUUGCCUCGAUCCACCGAGAUUUGGGAGGUUUUGGGUGUGUCCGUACGUAUGGGUGUGUGUGAGAGAGAGGGAGUCGAGAUGGAGGAGAGAGAGAGAGGCUACAGGAAUGAGAGGGAGAGAGAGAGGGUUUGUGAUGUCCAAAAACAAUCCCCACCAUCCAUUUUACAUCCCUAACCAAAAUAACAAAAAAUCAAAUUAAAGUCAACUUAUCUUAUUAUUUUCUUCCAACACAUUACUAAGAUUAGACUAAAAUAAUGUCACACACCCAAGUACCUUAAUGCCCGUUAAGGGCAAUUUCGUCAUUUCACAUUCCCGUCAAAUGUACCUCCGGGACGGGCUGUGACAACUACCCUGCCGCUGCCUACAAGUUCCUUCCUCGCCCCCGUUUCUACGUCCAAUUAAUUAAUCUGGAGGUAAGCUUUUAAAUCAGGUUCAAUUAACCUCUAUAAGUACAUCUUUUAAUUAGUAUUGUAUCAUCUUGUUGAUCGUGUUUAAUUUUCUAGGUUGCACAACCUAAUCUUGAGGACUCAAAUGAUGAUGAUAAUCUCGAAAAUCUUACUCUAAUUAACUGUAAUUUGAUGGAAGUGAUUUUUCAACUAAAGGGACCGGAGCAUGAAGAAAGUAGUCACUCCGUUGAAGCAUUCAAUAAAUUGAGGUCCUUGCGGUUAGAUAUAUUGCCAAGUUUAACGCAUGUUUGGGAGACGGGUAGUUCACAAUCGAUGUUCACAGGAAGUAACUUCGGAAACUUGAAAUCGCUACGGGUCGUUGCACCGAUGAAAUAAUUACAUUACCUAAAGUGAAGUCCAUCAAUCUUAAAUGUCGGCCAAAACUCAAGUAUUUUUAUGGUGAAACUUAUACUUUCAAGUUGCCGUCUUUGGAGUUAUUGGCGGUUACUGACGUGCAAAACUUAAGCCUAUUAGCUCCAAAGCUUAUUGCCCACAUCCCCGAUUGCAAGUACGCACCGCGAUGGGAGUGGCUGAAUGGAUGGGGGACCUCAAUGCCACUCUAAGGAAUAUUUACGUAAUCACUUAUGUGUGCAUAUGCGCACACUAAAAUAUGUUUUUUUUUUUUUUUUUUUUUUUUUUAGAAACUCGAAUUAUAUUUCAAGAAAACAUCUCUCUUUUAUUUCUAAUACCGAGAAGAAUGAAGCUGACGGAAUUCUACUAGACACCAUAUAACGAGGAUGUUAACAAUCACAAAAGGUUGUGGCUUCGGCUAUUCGCUUACUUUCAUAUGUACAAACCAAUAAGAUGUCAGUUCGCCAAAAAAAAAAAAAACCAAUAAGAUGUCAUUUGUUGCACCAGAAUUUCAUUCUAAAGAUUCUGUUUCCGUUGCUUACUAUAUGUAUAAUUAAUUUCGAUUGCGAUUAUUACUGUUUGAAUUCAUCUCUCGACUGCCUAUGGGGACGUCAAGGUGGACACCAAAAUGGAGGCGCGAUGACCUGCAUCCGGAAAGUGACGUAGCCAUAACGUGCAUGCAAAUAUAAUUUAAUAAAAUAACUUCAAAUGAUCUACUGAAAAAUCGGCAUAGUCUCCUUUGGAAUUAGGUUUUGGCCCCCAAAUUUAAAACCUGCUGAAAAAGUUAUAAUUAUUUCAAAACCACAUCCCCGUCACCUAAUGGGUUAUCAACCCUCUACUACAUGCACGUAUACUCCAAUAUACUUACUGGUGGUUAGGCCUGGCAAUUCCUGACACGAUCCGAUAACCCGACACGACACGACACGAAAUUAACAGGUGUCCGGGUCGACACGAUAACGAAACGGAUCAUUAUCGGGUAACCCGAUAAGCACCUGUUAAGAUAACGGGUUUGUUCGGGUAUACACGUGGGUAACACGAUACACGAUAAGCAAAAUAUUAAUUUAAUAAUUUAUAACCCUAAAAAAAUACUAUAAUAAUUAUAUAUAUAUAUAUAUAUAUUAAUUUAACAAUUUUAUACCCCUAAAAACUAUAAUAAUUAUAUAUAUAUAUAUAUAUAUAUAUAUUAAAUUAACUAUAAUAAUUAUAAUAAUUAUAUAUACUAUAAUAAUUAUACCCAACAUAUUAACUAUAAUAAUUAUAUAUAUAUUAAAUUUUAUACCCCUAAAAUCUAUAAUAAUUAUACAUACAAAAUAAAUAGAUUUAAAUCUACUUAAUAAAUAAAUAUAUAUAUAUACACACACACACCAUUGAACUUCAUGGAAUACGAAUUAUACAAAACUAAUUUCAACGAUCCAACCGUCAAACAUGUUUGUAUAUACUUCGUAUAUACUUCGAGAUUGCAUACGCCAAAAAUUGCAAAAAACAAACAUUUAGAGAGCAAAUAACAUGACAAAACUUUUCGACGGUUAUAAACGAAAAAUCACGAUUUAACAGUCAUUUUAACUCCGAUUUUGAUGAUUUUUUACAACCACACUCCUUGACCCUAUAUGAAUACAAUGAUUGAAUUCGAUCUUCAAUUUAAAAUAUUUACACUAGUGGAUACCACAAAAUCUUAUGUUAUACUUAAUAAAAGUAUGAAUAAACUCUUAAGUAUUAGUGAAUCUAUUGUUUUGAUGGGAUACUCAUUCUACAAAACUAGUUUCAAUGAUCCAACCGUCAAACAUGUUUGUAUAUACUUCGAGAUCGCAUACGCCAAAAAUUGCAAAAAACAAACAUUCAGAGAUCAAGUAAUGGGACAAAAGUUUUUCGACGGUUAUAAACGAAAAAUCACGAUUUAACGGUUAUUUUAACUCCGAUUUUGAUGAUUUUUUACAACUACACUCCUUGACCCUAUAUGAAUACAAGUAAUGAAUUCGAUCUUCAAUUUAAAAUAUUUACACUAGUGGAUACCGCAAAAAAUCUUAUGUUAUACUUAAUAAAAGUAUGAAUAAACUAUUAAGUAUUAGUGAAUCUAUUGUUUUGAUGGGAUACUCAUUCUACAAAAACUAGUUUCAAAGAUCCAACCGUCAAACAUGUUUGUAUAUACUUCGAGAUCGCAUACGUCAAAAAUUACAAAAAACAAACAUUCAGAGAUCAAUUAACGGGACAAAAACUUUUCGACGGUUAUAAAAAGAAAAAUCACGAUUUAACGGUCAUUUUAACUCUGAUUUUGAUGAUUUUUUGCAGCUACACUCCUUGACCUUAUAUGAAUACAAUGAUUGAAUUCGAUCUUCAAUUUAAAAUAUUUACACUAGUGGAUACCACAAAAUCUUAUAUUAUACUUAAUAAAAGUAUGAAUAAACUAUUAAGUAUUAGUGAAUCUAUUGUUUUGAUGGGAUACUCAUUCUACGAAACUAGUUUCAAUGAUCCAACCGUCAAACAUGUUUGUAUAUAUACUUCGAGAUCGCAUACGCCAAAAAUUGCAAAAAACAAACAUUCAGAGAUCAAGUAACGGGACAAAACAUUUUCGACGGUUAUAAACGAAAAAAUCACGAUUUAACGGUCAUUUUAACUCCGAUUUUGAUGAUUUUUUACAACUACACUCCUUGAUGAAUAUGAAUACAAUGAUUGAAUUCGAUCUUCAAUUUAAAAUAUUUACACUAGUGGAUACCACAAAAUCUUAUGUUAUACUUAAUAAAAGUAUGAAUAAACUCUUAAGUAUUAGUGAAUCUAUUGUUUUGAUGGGAUACUCAUUCUACGAAACUAGUUUCAAUGAUCCAACCGUCAAACAUGUUUUUAUAUAUUUCGAGAUCGCAUACGCCAAAAAUUGCAAAAAAACAAACAUUCAGAGAGCAAGUAACGGGACAAAACUUUUCGACGGUUAUAAACGAAAAAAUCACGAUUUAACGGUUAAUUUUAACUCCGAUUUUGAUGAUUUUUUACAACUACACUCCUUGACCUUAUAUGAAUACAAUGAUUGAAUUCGAUCUUCAAUUUAAAAUAUUUACACUAGUGGAUACCACAAAAUCUUAUGUUAUACUUAAUAAAAGUAUGAAUAAACUCUUAAGUAUUAGUGAAUCUAUUGUUUUGAAUGGGAUACUCAUUCUACGAAACUAGUUUCAAUGAUCCAACCGUCAAACAUGUUUGUAUAUAUUUCGAGAUCGCAUACGCCAAAAAUUGCAAAAAAAAAAAAAACAUUCAGAGAUCAAGUAACGGGACAAAACUUUUCGACGGUUAUAAACGAAAAAUCACGAUUUAACGGUUAUUUUAACUCCGAUUUUGAUGAUUUUUUACAACUACACUCCUUGACCUUAUAUGAAUACAAUGAUUGAAUUCGAUCUUCAAUUUAAAAUAUUUACACUAGUGGAUACCACAAAAUCUUAUGUUAUACUUAAUAAAAGUAUGAAUAAACUAUUAAGUAUUAGUGAAUCUAUUGUUUUGAUGGGAUACUCAUUCUACAAAACUAGUUUCAAAGAUCCAACCGUCAAACAUGUUUGUAUAUACUUCAAGAUCGCAUACGUCAAAAAUUACAAAAAACAAACAUUCAGAGAUCAAUUAACGGGACAAAACUUUUCGACGGUUAUAAAAAGAAAAAUCACGAUUUAACGGUCAUUUUAACUCUAAUUUUGAUGAUUUUUUGUAGCUACACUCCUUGAACUUAUAUGAAUACAAUGAUUGAAUUCGAUCUUCAAUUUAAAAUAUUUACACUAGUGGAAACCACAAAAUCUUAUAUUAUACUUAAUAAAAGUAUGAAUAAACUAUUAAGUAUUAGUGAAUCUAUUGUUUUGAUGGGAUACUCAUUCUACGAAACUAGUUUCAAAGAUCCAACCGUCAAACAUGUUUGUAUAUACUUCAAGAUCGCAUACGUAAAAAAAAAUUACAAAAAACAAACAUUCAGAGAUCAAGUAACGGACAAAACUUUUCGACGGUUAUAAACGAAAAAUCACGAUUUAACGGUCAUUUUAACUCCGAUUUUGAUGUUUUUUUACAACCACACUCCUUGACCCUAUAUGAAUACAAUGAUUGAAUUCGAUCUUCAAUUUAAAAUAUUUACACUAGUGGAUACCACAAAAUCUUAUAUUAUAUACUUAAUAAAAGUAUGAAUAAACUAUUAAGUAUUAGUGAAUCUAUUGUUUUUGAUGGGAUACUCAUUCUACGAAACUAGUUUCAAUGAUCCAACCGUCAAACAUGUUUAUAUAUACUUCGAGAUUGCAUACGCCAAAAAUUGAAAAAAACAAACAUUAAGAGAUCAAGUAACGGGACAAAACGUUUCGACGGUUAGAAACGAAAAAUCAUGAUUUAACGGUCAUUUUAACUCCGAUUUUGAUGAUUUUUUACAACUACACUCCUUGACCCUAUAUGAAUACAAUGAUUGAAUUCGAUCUUCAAUUUAAAAUAUUUACACUAGUGGAAACCACAAAAUCUUAUGUUAUACUUAAUAAAAGUAUGAAUAAACUCUUAAGUAUUAGUGAAUAUAUUGUUUUGAUGGGAUACUCAUUCUACGAAACUAGUUUCAAUGAUCCAACCGUCAAACAUGUUUGUAUAUAUUUCGAGAUCGCAUAUGCCAAAAAUUGCAAAAAACAAACAUUCAGAGAGAACGUAAUGGGACAAAACUUUUCGACGGUUAUAAACGAAAAAUCACGAUUUAACGGUUAAUUUAACUCCGAUUUUGAUGAUUUUAUACAACUACACUCCUUGACCUUAUAUGAAUACAAUGAUUGAAUUCGAUCUUCAAUUUAAAAUAUUUACACUAGUGGAUACCACAAAAUCUUAUGUUUAUACUUAAUAAAAGUAUGGUAUAGUACUAUUGUUUUAUUUUUUUUCAUAAUUAUUUUGGUAAACUUCUCAUAAUUUGAAUAAUUUUUAAUGUUUGGUUUUUCUAUGCUUAGUUUAUGCAGAAGAUAGUUAUGACGUGGAAAACCUUACUGAAAAGGUCAUCAACAUAACUCUUGAAGGCAAUAGAUCAAGCCAAAGUUCCAAUGCAAUUUCAUGAUGAUCGAUGUAAAUCGAUGAUUUUGUAAAUUGAGGUUUAAACUUUUGAGAAAGAUUUCAUAACCUUGAAAACAAAAACUGUUUCAUUUUGCAUAUCCUUGCACAUAUAAAAUUUGUAAUAGAUUAGUAGUGUAUGUAUUAUUUUUUUAUUAGGCUCUUAUUUUCGAGUGUAGAUGUAGUACUUAAACGACAAAUGUGUUUUAAUGUUUUGAAGUAAUAUUUAUGUGGCAAUGUGUGGUAUGUGCAAAUUUAAGAAAAAAAAAAUAUUUUUCUUAACGGGUCAUAACGGGUCGGGUCACUUUACCCGUUGGGUAAAGUGACACGACCUGUUAAGGACCCGUUAAGAUAACAGGUGUGACACGACACGACCCAUUAAGAUAACAGGUGUUAUACGAAAACGACACGAACACGACUGACACGACCCGUUUGCCAGGCCUACUGGUGGUAUAGCAUACAAUUUCAUACACUAGUGAUAACUAGUGUAAGCUGAAAAUUUAACCAUACACUAGUCAUAGUUAGUGUAAGAAAUGCAAAAGAUUGGGGAGAUGCGAAAGAACUCAUCUCUGGUCCUGGAAAUAUUGCAUACAAUAUUGCUCUACCAAUUAAACCAAAUCUUAUGACUCUAGUGACAAGCUAGAAAGCCACAAAAGAAUAAACAAGGAAUCAGGCUAUGCAAUUUCCUACCACAUUUUCACAUCAACGUGAUUGUUAGGGGUUUCAACAACUUCACAGAAUAACCACAAAUCUCAUCUCCGGCAUUCAGGCAGAAAAAUCAAAUAAAAGUUUGAAAUCAAGAAUCAAUCCCGAAACUGAAAGUUGAAAUUUUGGAAAAAUAACUUACAUCAGAGGACUUUCCAUGAGGAGAAGAUCAUUUUUACCUCUUGGGUCGAGGACAUUCCACGAUGAGCCUGCAUAAAUGAACCAAUUAAACAAAGAAAUGAAAACCGAAUAACUCGGAAGCUAAAGUAUCACAGAUAGAAAAUUGCAUAUACCUAACUAAAAAUGCACAACCUAACGAGAUGUGGUAGUCUAAGUGUAUAACACAAGGGUGAGAAGUACUCUAGUGCUCACAAACUGAAGCCACAAGACUACCAGAUAAUGUAGCUUCAGAAAUAUCAUUCGUUCUUUUGCGCACAAUCAUACAUGCUCAUCAGAACAAAGUAUGAUCUCCAACGGAAAUAGAAGUGACACAGGUGAAAGUCAAAAUAAACAAACAAAUAAUAGUGAACGAGAAGGCCCUAAAGAAUUGCUCUAACUAGGAGACAAGCUUAAAUUAUUCAGAUAAUAAGCCUUGCACAAACCCAACUUUCAAAAAACUAGAUUAGUAUGCCGUGAUAUUUAACAAUGCCGUCAAAAACUUGCUUGUUGAACUACUCAACCCUGUAUUCCAUCUCCUUCUCUGCCAUACCAAAAAUUUGCACAAUUGUUUAAAACCAAAUUAAGGUCUUUCGAAAACCCACCAGAGAUUAUUUGAAAAACACGAAUUUAGAACAAUAAUUCAAAACCAAAGAACAGAAAAUCCAUCACACCAGAGUAAAAAUUAACCAUCUUGUUGCUUCCUAACUCUCAAGAAAUAUCCACGUCUCACUUUUACUA